rnacentral:lncRNA from 1 species
CCUCAUGAAAGAGGCGCCACCAUGGUCGGAGCUCAACCUUUGGUCGAGAGCUACAAUGUGCCGAUAUUCUGCAAGGAUGUCCCGACCGUGAGAAGAAUCACCCGGAGGGUAACUGGACGGAGCGGAGGGCUCCCUUCAGUACAGGCACUUGCGCUUUUCCAUGGCGACAAUUGCACGGAGAUCGCAUGCUUUUUGCUGGAUCCAGACCACGUCGGCGCCGAUCGGGUUCAAUGGCUGGUGGAGCAGAUUGCAGAAGAGCAAGGGCUUGAAGUUGACAAGGGCUAUUUCACCGACCUGUCAAAGCAUAUGAUGCUAGAAAGGUACUCCGAGAUGGUUUCUGCAGCUGACUGACCUGUUGAAUUUCGUGCCGACACUCUUGUAAUCAUGCAUGCCUGCACUUCCAUGUAUGCUGCUGUUUAAACUGUGGCACCAACUUGGACUCCGGACCGACCAAUUCCGAAAUUUUGUAUAUACUUAGUUAUAUCUGCACUAGAGGUGGUUCUCUGGAAACUUCGCCGCAGUAAUUGGCGCAUAACAGGUCUCAUCACUGAAUGAGAAUGUUGUUUUCAGUAAUUAAAGUCUGGCAACUUGGCAAGGCAGUAUUCCUUAAUGCCAACUGACAAAAUGCUUUUCGGGGGUGGAGGGGGUGGGGGGCACACAUUUUUGCGUAGAAUUUUGGAACAGAAAAGAUUAGAGGGUAAAAAUUAUUAUAUAAAUAUAUGUGAAAAUAUGAAUAAUUUAAGUUAUUUUGUCUCAGUUUGUACCAUGCACUACAAUAUAUUUAGAAUGCUGCUGUAGGAGGGGGCACUUCAAAGUUCAAAUAGCCAUCAAAUAUCUUUGUGUAAGUCAGCUUGCAGGAGAUUUACAAGUCCUUUUGCAGAUUCCAUAAGAUUGAAGGAAGAUAAGGAAAACAUUAAAAAGAUGGUGAGUAAAAAUUAUGGACAAUGAAGCAAAGUAGGGAAAUGAGCGAGUACUGGAUUCAGCAUUUGGACAGUAGCAUAAAUCUAUAAUCUUGGGUACCAUAUGGUAGGGAAGACCGGAGGCGGAGGAAAGAACCAUCAUGCUUUAGAUAGACCUUUUGCGGCAGCAUGUACCUGUCAAAUGGGUAAUCAAGCAUCCUCACGUGAUCAUCUAAAUUCACAUAAUGAGCAAUUGUGGCAGUUGUACUAGCAACAUCAACAGCAAUGGACAAAAACCGCACUAAGAAUCUACGGAUGAAAAGGAAGGGCAUAUCAAAAACUCCAAAGUUUCUUAAAGAUAGACCAUGUAAGUAGAUUCAAUAUCUUUAUCGGGAAAAAGAUGUAGAUUCAAUUACUGAGAAAAGAAUAAUACAAAUAAAUGAGCGAUUAACUUCAAUGUUGGAGGUGGAGGCGGAGUGCGCGCCACUGGAGGCCAAUGGCGUCCGUGCGCCAGGCGGCGGUGAGGAGCACGGCAAGGCAGACAGAGUGACCGCGAAAGGAAAGGCCCCAAAACGCGCGGUGGGCUGGCAGCCGGCCCACGAAUGGUUUUCUGGUUCCUUUUUUAUUUCCGAUUAAAAAUAUAUUUAAUGUAAAAAAUAUUUUAUUUUUUAGAAAUUUUGAGAUAUUCAUAUAUCAAUUAAUUUUACUUUUUAAAAAUAUNNNNNNNNNNNNNNNNNNNNNNNNNNNNNNNNNNNNNNNNNNNNNNNNNNNNNNNNNNNNNNNNNNNNNNNNNNNNNNNNNNNNNNNNNNNNNNNNNNNNNNNNNNNNNNNNNNNNNNNNNNNNNNNNNNNNNNNNNNNNNNNNNNNNNNNNNNNNNNNNNNNNNNNNNNNNNNNNNNNNNNNNNNNNNNNNNNNNNNNNNNNNNNNNNNNNNNNNNNNNNNNNNNNNNNNNNNNNNNNNNNNNNNNNNNNNNNNNNNNNNNNNNNNNNNNNNNNNNNNNNNNNNNNNNNNNNNNNNNNNNNNNNNNNNNNNNNNNNNNNNNNNNNNNNNNNNNNNNNNNAAAAGAACCAGAGAAGAAUGCCCAAGAAAACAUAACAAACUGAUCUUCAGCUCGUGUCUAGUGGUCCACCGAAGAAUUGGAGAUUCCACACGAGAGCUCACGAGACACAGGUUUUUUUUAGAAAGGUCGCACUUCAUUAUUUGAAGUUUACAAAAAUUGGACAUAAUGGGUCAUGGGGCUGGCCUAGCCAAAUAUGACGCCCGUGAUCGAAUGAAUGAGAGAAUUUAGCUAGCAAAUGUGCUUCAUAAUUUGGUGUUCUUCUCUACUUCUCUACUAUUAUUAAACAAGAAAGCAUAUUCAUGGCUAACUCCACCCAUUUUAGGCUACACAUAACAACACAGAGAAAUUAUAGCCCCUCGAUCAGAUCACUUCAUUUGAUCUAACCAUUCAGAUUACACUAACCCUCAGUUAAAACUGCGUUUAGCAAUUAACGGUGGUGGACGAUACUCUGUCGAGCGAAGGAAAUUUACCACGCCACGCUCAGUUCGCAAAGAAAUAAAACUAUCUCGAUCUGGAUCAUGUUUGUCCAUCAUUUUCCACGUGACACCCCAACCGCACCGCCUCCCCACGCGAGGGUGUCGGACCUGCACUUCCUCGGGCUCCACCGCGACAACCACUGCGGAUCCAUCUGGAUCUAGGUGAAGCGGAGAACGUAUCGCUGUCAGGUACAUGGCCUCCUCACUAGGGUUUCAAAAAUUGGGUGGCGGCCGAGGAGGCGAGACUCUCCGGGAGGGACGAUGGAAGGCAACCGGGAGGGGACGCGCAUAACGACCCGGAAAACAUCCGCCCUCACCCGCUUGGCGAAGGACAGGGCAAUAGCUGCUUCCGGGAUGUGAUGAUCCCUCUGCCCCGUUCGCCUCCUCACCACCCCAACGCUCGCCAUCACAGGGUUGCCCCCCUCAUGCUUGGCCCUCAACUCUGCCAACAGGGAGGUAAAUAGGAUUUGUGAGUUCCUUUUUUGUUUUUGUUGAUUGUAAUGUUAAAUAUGGCUCCUGAUUGAAUACAGACUUUAUUACUAGACAAGAGACUAGAUCAAAAGUGAUUGUUCUCAGUAAUCUUCAAGGAAUUAGCACAAGGGAAGAAAAACUUAUUUGUCCACGUCAGCGAGACGCCGUCAAAAGUGACCGUUGACAUUUUGUAUAUAUCUUUUGCCACCGAAUACAGGAGUCACCUCGGUUCACAUGACCGAUCAUCAAAUCAUCACGAACGAGCUCUAGUAACCGAAAAGAAAAACCAGCGGCAGAGCAGAUGGCUACAUGAGCAUAUCAACGUGGAAAACGAUGGCUCAUUUCAGAUCACAAAUGCUUUUCUAAGGCCAUGUUUGCUUUAGCUUUUAUCGACGGAUUCCGCUGCCACGCAGCAGAAUCUGAACCAAAGGGCGAACCCAGCAGAAUUCGAUUCCAGAAAUCCGCUGCCAAAAUCUGAAUUAAAAGUGGAAGCAGCCCAGGACGUGCUUUCCAAAAUUUGAUUCCGCUUCGGGCCAAAAUCUAAAAAAGCUGUAUCAGCUGGUUUGCCAAAUGACCUACAUAUUUUUCACAUCAGAUUUUCCAUAACUGUUUUUUUCACAGCUGUUUUUUCACAGCUGCUUUUAGAAAUCCACAGCCGAACGCCUAAGAUCCACGUGACCGCCGCUUACGGCCGCACAGUCCUAUCCAGAGAGCAGUGUACCCAUCGAUACAGGUCAGAUGUUUGUCCCGUUUCCCAUCAGCGACCUAUCUCACUUUGCCUCCUCAUGAUCAGGACGACGUACGCCGCUGAUCAGAGUCACGGAUUGCUCUUCUCGAGACGUCAGAGCAUGCAGAGCCCUCCGGACGAAAUAUCUUGGAUCGGUUACGAAAUUGAUACACAGAAUGCAACCUGCAAAGCAGCAAUUCGACCAUAUAUAUAUUUCUUUUAUUUUUAACAGAGAUAUUUCAUUUAUUUAGCAACAGCGUACAUGUACAAUUGUGCAGUUAAGCACAGUAGAAAGAGCAGCUACAACUGCAUUGAGGCAGGCUUCAUUGCCUACUCCUAAGCAUCUGAACCUGUAAGGUGUAUUCUGAAUUUUGAGAGCAAGCUUGGCAUGAUGAUGAGCACGAAAAUUAUAGCCUCUGUUUUUUUCCCGAAAAGGUGGCCUCUGUUAAUGUGGUAGAGCCUUGUGAUAUCAAACGCCGAGGAACCUGUAAUAUGUGCGAGCUGAGGUCUGAUUGUCCAAUGACCUGGAUCUGAGAUGAGGUCUUGAGAAACUACAGCUGACGCCAAUGUCGCACAGUCUGUUAGGAAAGUGGCAUGUUGAAGAUGGAGUAGCUGCGCAAUCUGGGAAGCAAGCAUCAUGCUGAAUGCUUCAGCCUUCAGCCUGGAUGGCCGACGCCAGUGGUGGCCAAGUGGCUGAUAUGCACAGCUGAGAGCAGCUUCUAUCACCUGCAAACUGGAUAAAAACUCCUAUUCCUGCAAUUGCCGGUCCCCCUUUAGGUCCUAGAGUCCAGGAAGCAUCUGAAAAUACUAUGGGACCUGUAAUGUUGGUCAGAUCCAUGAUUGUUUUUCCUGGAGAUGGCAGCACACUGUGAGUAAGAACAGCUCCUCUUUGCCCAGAUGCGUCCACAGCCUUAUUCCCCUUCAAGUUUGGCCAGCUAGUUGCGCUGCUAGCCUGAGACGUAUUUGUUGCCUCCAAAUUUGCACCUUGCAUGAUUGCUGCUGCCGCUGCAUGUACCUGAGGAGUGUGGAAUUUCCUGCAAAAACGUGCGUCGUUCCGAAAUUUCCAAAUGCACCACAGAAAAGUAUAAAGUGAUGUUAUAUUUAUUUGUGGGUGAUUGGAAGUAAUCAAAGCUUCGAUCAUAUUUGGAACUGAGUGAUUGUGAUGGGCUAAUAAUUCAUAUACCAAGCUGCUUUAGCAAAAGGACAUAAAAGGAAGAGAUGCAUUUCAUUUCCAAGAUUUCCACAAGUAGAACAACUUUCACUGAUAUACUUAGAAUACUUACCUGCCCUUUACCUGUAGCUAGUGCGUUGCGAUGAAACCUCCAUGCAAAAGUCUGGUAUCAGUCCAGCUAUUCGACUGUAGGAGGCCCGAUCUCCUUUAUCUUAAGAGGGAUAGUGCAGGACGGCCAUGAGCACACCACACACACUCAGGUCCAACAAGGUUCAGUUAUUUGGCAAAAUAUAUGGACAUUUCAAGAUGCAGAGAGCUAUCAUGCCAUUAAUUCCAGUCCCUUCUCGUGACGGUUUUCAACGAACAACGUGGACAAUGACAUUGCACUGGCCAACUAGAUGUGGUUACCAAACAAGAUUUCAUUAUCCAAAACCAAAAGUGAUGAAGUACAGUGAGAGACAAGGUUUGUGAGUGAUGAAUCAAGAGAUUCAACGGUGACAAGGUUCCGUGUGCAUAAGAAAAAUGGUUUUCCAGAGGCCGGUGGCAUGCUGCUGUGGUGGAACCAAAGAUAAUUAUGCAAGUAUAUGUAGGGGGGUGCUGAGUCAUAAAGCUGAUCGAAGAGCACAUGCUCCGUCCUUGCUCUCAUGGUUGGGGCUCACUCAGAGACGAACAAGACAAGGACAAAAAGGUUUCUUGCAAGCAACUUUUUGAUUCAUAAGAAGGCAUUGCUCUACCACUCCACUCCAUUCCCCACCGGCGAGAGAGACUCAGAUUGAGGUAGAGCGGAAGGCAUGGAGGGCAAGCGCACCGACCAGGUAUGUUCUGGUACCCAGACCCCCCCUCCAGUUCCUCAAGAUUUGAACCAGGAUUUUUAGUUUAGAUAGAAGCUAGAACAGACAGAGUGCGAAAAACUUGAGUUAUUCAGCCAUAUAUGAACUUUCUAAAUUCUAAUUCCUGUUUCUUGUGGUCACAUGAAAAGAAAAUCUGCUGAGAUUCUCAUACAGAUGCUAAAACUAGCUGAUUUCUGCUGUCUCUGGAUCGAUUGCGCAAUCAGAUACAUGUUCUAGAUACUACUCCCUCCAUCCCAUAAUAUAAGAGUGUUUUUGACACUAGUGUAGUGUCAAAAACGCUUUUUUAUUAUGGGACAGAGGGAGUAGGAAUUAAGCCAUCCAGUACUAUAUCAAAGUAAAAAGAACAAGAAAUUUCAAUUUAUCCUCACCUGAAUCCCUGCCCUGUUCAAUUUAUACCAAAGUACAAGAUGGCGAAGAAGGCCGCAAAGCGAGCUGUUGGUGAAGCAAGGGGUCGGGCAUAUGAGGACCUCUACCAACGGUUAGGCACGAAGGAAGGUGAAAGGGACAUCUAUAAGAUGGCUAAGAUCCGGGAGAGGAAGACGAGGGAUAUUGGCCAAGUCAAAUGCAUCAAGGACGGAGCAGGCCAACUCUUGGUGAAGGACGAAGAGAUUAAGCAUAGAUGGCGGGAGUACUUCGACAAGCUGUUCAAUGGGGAGAAUGAGAGUUCUACCAUUGAACUGAAUGACUCCUUUGAUGAGACCAGCAUGCGUUUUGUGCGGCGCGUCCAGGAGUCUGAGGUGAAGGAGGCUUUAAAAAGGAUGAAAGGAGGCAAGGCGAUGGGCCCUGAUUGUAUCCCCAUUGAGGUGUGGAAAGGUCUCGGGGACAUAGCGAUAGUAUGGCUAACCAAGCUUCUCAACCUCAUUUUUCGGGCAAACAAGAUGCCAGAAGAAUGGAGACGGAGUAUUUUAGUACCAAUCUUCAAGAACAAGGGGGAUGUUCAGAGUUGUACUAAUUACCGUGGAAUUAAGCUGAUGAGCCAUACAAUGAAGCUAUGGGAGAGAGUCAUUGAGCACCGCUUAAGAAGAAUGACAAGCGUGACCAAAAAUCAGUUUGGUUUCAUGCCUGGGAGGUCGACCAUGGAAGCCAUUUUCUUGGUACGACAACUUAUGGAGAGAUAUAGGGAGCAUAAGAAGGACUUGCAUAUGGUGUUCAUUGACUUGGAGAAGGCCUAUGAUAAGAUACCGCGGAAUGUCAUGUGGUGGGCCUUGGAGAAACACAAAGUCCCAGCAAAGUACAUUACCCUCAUCAAGGACAUGUACAAUAAUGUUGUGACAAGUGUUCGAACAAGUGAUGUCGACACCGAUGACUUCCCGAUUAAGAUAGGACUGCAUCAGGGGUCAGCUUUGAGCCCUUAUCUUUUUGCAUUGGUGAUGGAUGAGGUCACAAGGGGUAUACAAGGAGAUAUCCCAUGGUGUAUGCUCUUUGCGGAUGAUGUGGUGCUAGUUGACGAUAGUCGGACAGGGGUAAAUAGGAAGUUAGAGUUAUGGAGACAAACCUUGGAAUCGAAAGGGUUUAGGCUUAGUAGAACUAAAACCGAGUACAUGAUGUGCGGUUUCAGUACUACUAGCUGUGAGGAGGAGGAGGUUAGCCUUGAUGGCCAGGUGGUACCUCGGAAGGACACCUUUCGGUAUUUGGGAUCAAUGUUGCAGGAGGAUGGGGGUAUUGAUGAAGAUGUGAACCAUCGAAUCAAAGCCGGAUGGAUGAAGUGGCGCCAAGCUUCUGGCAUUCUCUGUGACAAGAGAGAGCCACAAAAGCUAAAAGGCAAGUUCUACAGGACGGCGGUUCGACCCGCAAUGUUGUAUGGCGCGGAGUGUUGGCCGACUAAAAGGCGACAUGUUCAACAGUUAGGUGUGGCGGAGAUGCGUAUGUUGAGAUGGAUGUGUGGCCACACGAGGAAGGAUCGAGUCCGGAAUGAUGAUAUACGAGAUAGAGUUGGGGUAGCACCAAUUGAGGAGAAGCUUGUCCAACAUCGUUUGAGAUGGUUUGGGCAUAUUCAGCGCAGGCCUCCAGAAGCUCCAGUGCAUAGCGGACGGCUAAAGCGUGCGGAGAAUGUCAAGAGAGGGCGGGGUCGACCGAUUUUGACAUGGGAGGAGUCCGUUAAGAGAGACCUGAAGGAUUGGAGUAUCGACAAAGAGCUAGCUAUGGACAGGGGUGCGUGGAAGCUUGCUAUCCAUGUGCCAGAGCCAUGAGUUGGUUGCGAGAUCUUAUGGGUUUCAUCUCUAGCCUAUCCCAACUUGUUUGGGGAGUAAAGGCUUUGUUGUUGUUGUUGUUGUUGAAUCCCUGCCCUGUUCAUCUGCUCCAAAGGCAAAGCUCAGCACGAUGCACCCAAAGGUUAUCUGCUGCAAGCUCUACAUCUCUGAAAGCCAAAAUGGGGCUGUUGUCGAUUCCAUCAGCCGCAUAGGCCAGAAAGACCCUGAGGUGGUUUUGCUCAGCAAGUUCGAGGACGAGUACUACAACCGUGUCCGCUACACGCUCGUCUCCUACAUCACCAGCGAAAGCUCAACCGGUGAAGCUGUAUUUAGCCCAAUCAGGAAGGUGUUGCUGGCGAUGAUCGAGGCUGCAUUUUCAGCCAUAAAUCUCGAAGUGCACAGUGGAACUCAUCCAAGGAUUGGUGUCGUCGAUGACAUGUCGUUCCAUCCCCUGAGUCAAGCAGCCACCAUGGAGGAUGCUGCACAGCUGGCUAAGCUGGUGGCCUCUGACAUUGGAAAUGGCUUGCAAGGUAGUGUUCUUCACCAAGAUUUUCUUCUGUCAGUAACAAAUGAGAUGAUACACUGUAUACAUAUUCUGACCCUCUUCCCUCCCUGUUCAUAAUGCAGUUCCGGUGUUCCUCUACGCGGCAGCACACCCCACCAGCAAGAGCGUCAGUGCAAUACGGCGUGAGCUCGGCUACUACCGACCAAAUCACAAGGGUGUCCAAUGGGCAGGCCAGGUGCUCCCUGAUACUCUACCAGUGAAGCCGGAUGUGGGCCCAGCUCAGGUUUCUCGUGAGAGAGGAGCCACCAUGGUCGGAGCUAAACCUUUCGUCGAGAGCUACAAUGUGCCAAUAUUCUGCAAGGAUCUCCCGACCGUGAGAAGGAUCACCCAAAGGGUGACCGGACGGAGCGGAGGGUUCCCGACGGUGCAGGCGCUUGCUCUCUUCCAUGGAGACAAUUGCAUGGAGAUCGCGUGCCUGCUGGACCCAGAUCAUGUCGGAGCCGAUCAGGUUCAGUGGCUGGUGGAGCAGAUUGCAGAAGAGCAAGGGCUUGAGGUCGACAAGGGUUACUUCACCGACCUGUCCAAGGACAUGAUGCUGGAAAGGUACUUCGAGAUUGUUUCUGCAGCAGAUUGACAUGUGCAUAAUUUUCUUAUUGUGAUCAGACAUGUCUGAACUUCCGUGUAUGCUGCUGUUUAAACUGUGGCACCAACUGGACCCCAGACCGACCAAUUCCAACAUUUUGUAUAUACUUAAUAAAAUUUGCAGUGAAGAUGGUCUAUGGAAACUUCACCACAGUAAUUGGCGCAUAACAGGUCUCACUGAAUGAGAACGUUGUUUUCAGUAAUUAAAAUCUGGCAACUUGGCAAGGCAGCAUUCCUUAAUGCCAACUGACAAAAUACUUUUUUGGGGGUGGGGGCACACAUUUUUUUCGUAGAAAUUUGGAACAGAAAAGAUUAGAGGGCAAAAGAUUAAUAUAUAAAUAUAUGUGAAAAUAUGAAUAUUUUAAUUUAUGCUGUCUCAGUUUGUACCGUGCACUACAAUAUAUACUAUUUAGAAUACAGCUAUAGAAGGGGGCACUUCAAAGUUCAAAUAGCAGUCAAGUAUCUUUGUGUAAGUCAGCUUGCAGGAGAUUUACAAAUCCUUUUGCAGAUUCCAUGAGAUUGAAGGAAGAUAAGGAAAACAUUAAAAAGAUGAUGAGAGAAAAUUAUGGACUAUGAAGAUAGGCAACUGAACGAGUUGGGUACCAUAUAUGGUAGGAAAGACGGGAGGAGGAGGAAAGAACCGUCACACUUUAGAUAGACCUUUUGCAGCAGCAUGUACCUGUCAAAUGGGUAAUUGAGCAUUCUCACAUGAUCAUCUAAAUUCACAUAAUGAGCAAUUGUGGCAGUUCCACUAGCGACAUCAACAGCAAUGGCAGCACUAGAUUCAACAAAUACCCCACUAGAAAUCUAAGCAUGAAAAAGAAUGGCGUGUCUAAAACUCCAAAGUUUCUGAAGAUAGACCAGGUAAGAAGAUAGAUUCAAUAUCUUUACCGGAAAGAAAGUAGAUUCAAUAUACUGAGAAAGGAAUAAUACAAAUAUAUGGGCGAUUAAUUGUUAUAGCUGCUAAUCAAUGUUCAAUGUUGGAAUAACAGGCCAUAAAAAAACACUUGGACUAUAAGCCAGCAAGCAGUACUCUUGCAUUGUUCAGUGUUCAUGUACCACAUUCUUCUACAUUUUAGUUGAAAUUCGAGGCAAUGUCAGCACGGAUUUGUGCUUGCAACUAACAAGCAGGACGACAAACAAUCUAGCAUCAACCCCAUACUCCAAAGUAGCUAACUGAUUUUGCGGGUUGUGAUCUGGGAGGAAGCCCAUCAGAUCUCGAACCCAACAGGGCAUUUGGAUCCAAGCAUCAGACGAACUGACCAGAACUUGGAUACAAAAAGAGACGGUGCUUGGAUUUACCAGCAGAUUGGAACCGCGCGUGGCAUGGGGAGGCGCUUCUCUUCCCCUGUUCGGCAUCGCCGGUAAACCUAGGAUAUGGCGGUCGCCAAAUCAGUAAAGAAUGAACAGCAAGACAGUGUGUGGCAUCAGAUUGAAACGGGGCUCAGGUUGAAACCGAGCUGGAAGAGAGUAGAGACAGAAGCUCCCCUCGCUCCUCGGCACACGCUCGGCUGUUUUUUUUAUGGGAAGUGCCAGGUGAGCCAGGGCGCUUCCGCCGCUGGUGGAGGUGUAGGCGGAGGCGGAGUGCGUGCCGCUGGAGGUCAGCGGCAUGCCCAAUGGCCGACGGCGUCCGUGCGCCGAACGGCGGCGAGGAGCACGGGAAGGCAGACAGAGUUUUUUUUUAGGCUAGAAGGCAGACAGAGUGCGCACCGCGAAAGGGAAGGCCCCAAAACGCGCGGUGGGCCGGCGGCCGGCCCACAUAGCGUUUCUGCACCUCCGGGAACGUGGUGGGACGAAUGGUUUUCUGGUUCCGUUUCUUUUAUUUCCAAUAAAUGUUAUAUUUAAAUGAAAAAAAUAUUUAACAAGUUCAGGAAUUUUGAGAUAUCCAUAUAGAAAUAAAUUUUAAUUUUUUUAAAAAAAAUCGCGGUAUUUUGAAAAUGCUCAUGAAUUUUUAAAAGUUCGCGGUAUUUUGAAAAUGCUCGUGAAUUUUUAAAAGUGAAAGAAGAAAAAAAAGAUAAGAAAAACAUAAAGUAGAAACCCCCAAAACCUAGAGAAAAAUGUUCUUCAGCUCGCGUCUAGUGGUCCGGCAAAGAAUUGGAGAUUCCACACAAGAGGUUACGAGAGUCGCUCUUUUUGUUUUUUUAGAAAGGCCACACUUUAUUAUUCAAAAUCUACAAAAAUUAUGAAGCAUAAUGGGUCAUGGGGCUGGCCAGCCAAAUAUGGCGUCCCUGACCUAAUGAAUGAGAGAAUUUUGCUAGCAAAUAUGCUUCAUAAUUUGAUGCUCUUCCUCAAAACGGAACAUGCAAUUGUGCUCUAUGCUCUUUGCUUGAUCUUAGCUAUGAUUUGGCCAUAGUUCCCACAGCUCCCCUUGGGAAUGUCAUCCGAAGCUUGUUUCAAGUCUGUAGCAAUCAAUAUAUUGUGGAGGAGAAGAAGAUCAUAUGCAAGGCACAAACUUCCUACAUGCAAUCGCUUCUAGGGAUGCGCACAGCACAUCGCUUGGCUCGCAAAACUACACGGUGGCAACACAAAUUAAUUGUGCCAAUUAAACCAAGCAUCAUCUAUGCAUGAUUCAUCAACUUACUCAAAGCAUGAAGUUGGUUUCUAUCAGCAGCGCUCCCUAAACUCUUCAAUCAAGUAUGUAGUAAGACAAAGUAAUCAGUACUUGUGCAAGAUAAUUGUCGACACACGAACACGUCACGUGUACUCUCAACGCCGGGGGUGAUGCACCAUAGCUCACGUCGAAGGAGAUUCGACCGACAGCGCGAUACGCAAGACAGUCGGCGGGCGCUUUUGUAGACCCAAAGCCCCGCUUACCCGAGAGGGACCCCGUCAGGGCUCGCGGCGGCUAUGGGCUGCUCCAGGUCGAUUCGCUCGUUCCUAGAGCCUCGUGGAUCCACGGCUCUUCAGCAUGAAGAACUAGCGAAGAACGAAAAGAAAGAUACAAGGGAGAGAUAAAAAGUAGAUGAACACGAAAAAGUAGUAGAUGUGUUUGUUCGAUUGUGUGUGGUUUCAAUCGGCCGUCACCCCUAACAUAUAUAAGAGGCGGCUGGACUUCCCGUACAAGCAAAUGAUCCAUCUAGGCUUUCCUUCCAAGAAAAUUGGAUCAAUUCACGUCCUACAGUUCUAGUUUUAGUCCAACUCAGAUUCAGCCCGAAUCUGUCCCAUAUUUGUGUCCUGCUUCUUGCGUGGGCCGUAGAAAUCGCAUACUAACUCGCAUGGAGUCGAGUUCAACAUCAAACUUGUCCGCCUCGAUGAUCUGCAUAAGACAUCACAGGCCACUUCUCCUUUUACGGCCAUCUUUAUGAUUUCCAGGGCCUAUCUUUAAAUAUGGGUCGAAUUCAAUUAUGCAGUUUUCUGAACUGUUCGAGUCUUGUAAUAAUUCUGCAGGCCAUAUACUAUCUCCGAUGAUGAUGACUCCAAAAGCAAAGUUUACCGUUUAGAUAAUACGCACAACUUCCGGGUAGAACACGUUUCCAUACGAGGCCAUAUGAAUAAACUUUCGAGCCCAUCUCCAACUUCUGGUCGGAUUGACUUUGACAGUCUCCACCACGGCAAGCUUUCCAUCCCAGCAAGCUUUCCACACUGACAAGGUUUUUAACCCGGCAAGCUUUCAUCCCGGCAAGGUUUCCACCCCAGCAAGGUUUCUAUCCCGAUAAGGUUUCUACCCCGGCAAGCUUUCACGCCGGCAAGGUUUCCACCUCGGCAAGGUUUCUACCCCGGCAAGCUUUCACACCAGCAAGCUUCCACGCCGGCAAGGUCUCCACCCCAACAAGCUCUCCACGCCGGCAAGGUCUCCAUCCCGGCAAGCUUCAUUCAACCGGCAAAGUCCGAAUAACUCACGCGACCCAUCAGACACCACCUAGGUGGGUGUCUGGUCCCUCGUGUCACUUUUUCACCCAGGACCGGUCCGCGAAGUGUUGCCUAUAACUUUUUGUAAGUGCAUCUAGUGCCACCCCUAGUUGGUUUUGGAGUAUUGACGACAAACCUAGUUGAGGGACUAAUGUGUUUGUGAGAAUUGCAGGAUAACACAGGUAGAAGUCCCUCAUUGAUUCGGUUUUCCUACCAGAGAUGACCCCUAAAAAUGUAAGAAGACUUGAAGUCAAAGGUGGUAUGUGAAGACAUUCACAUUGAAGACUAUGACAAGAGAAGACAUCGCAUGAAGACUAUGGAGCACGAAGACUUAGUUCUUUCGUCGUUCUUUUUCUUCUUUGUUGAGUCAUAGGAACCACCGUACUGUUAAGUGGGGUCCAAGUGAACCAGUCAGAAUGACUGAAGUGAUGCUUAACCAAAAUCCUAUGUCUUCGAGUGAAGACUAUGAGAGCAAAUCUUGUCCAGAGUUGAAUAAGUCAGCUUUGCUUGUAGCUCAAAUAAAGUUGCCGUGUGUGUUUGAAAUUUGACUGUUGGAACACGUGUCAGUUCCUUAGUGACCAAGGGUCAUUUCGGACAAAUCAGGUCAGGUUGCCUAGUGGCUAUAAAUAGCCCACCCCCUACAACCAUAAACGGUUGGCUGCUCAGAGUUAGUACACGGCUUUUGUCGUUUGAGAGCAACCCACCUCGAAGCCUUUGAGAGAGAAUUCCUUGCGAGGAUAAAGCCCUAAACACCCAAAGCCAAAGAGUGUUAGGCAUCACUGAAGUUUUCCUGUCUGUGUGAUCUGAAGACUUAUUACACUUGAGGACUGUGAAUCCUCCAGCCGGUUAGGCGUCGCAUUCUGAGCAUCCAAGAGUCAUUGUGGAUCGCCGGUGAACGAAGUCUGUGAAGGUUUGGAAGUCUACCUUGAAGACUUACCAGAGUGAUUGGGCGAGGUCUGUGUGACCUUAGCUCAAGGGGAAUACGGUGAGGACUGAGUGUCCUGAGCUGCGUGUUCAGGACUGGGUGUCCGGGACUGUGUGUCCUCAGGUUUAAAUACCUAGCCGCCCUAACCAGACGUACAACUGUCACCGCAGUUGGAACUGGUCUACCAAACUUUUGUCUUCACCAAGCUCACUGGUUCUAUCCUUCCCAUCUCUUUCUUUAUAGUUGGUCCUUGUGAAGUCAUUGCCUAUUUGCAUUGUCCAUUUGUCUUCACUGUGUGACUGUUUGUUCAGAUUGGUUUCAUAUUAUCUUCCAUCCUGAUCCGUACUGCCUAGCUGCUGUUAGUCUUUGUGCUUUCACUUCAUUGAAUACUUGACUAUGGUUUGUCUAGGGCAGUCUACCUUCCGCUGCAUGGUUAUAUGUUUAUUUCUAUCGUUUGUCUUCAAAAACCCCAUGUUUUGAAGACUUUCAUAAAAAUCGCCUAUUCACCCCCCCUCUAGUCGAUAUAACGCACUUUCAAUUGGUAUCAGAGCAAGGUACUCCCUUGUUCUGUGUGAUUUUGGUUUAACCGCCUGGAGUUUUAGUUAUGUCGACCACAGGAAUGAAGACUGUGUCAUGCCCCAUCUUUGACGGUCAUGAGUAUCCCAAGUGGAAGGCCAUGAUGAAGAAGCGUCUCAUGGUGAUGAACAACGAGCUGUGGACCGUCACUGAGAUUGGUCUGACCGAUCUGUGCAAGAUGGCGGAAGCUGAUGACAUUCGCAAGUACACUCUUCUCAAUCUCACGGCGAAGGACGUCAUCUGCUCCUGUCUGUCUCAAAAUCAGUUCAGGAAUAUCAUGCAUCUCUAUCAUGCGAAGCUUAUCUGGGACCGUCUCUCUGAGGUCUAUGAAGGUCAUCGAACUCAUCAUGAUCCUUGGUUUGAGGACUUUAAGGAAUCUCUCAAAGCGAUGGCAUUCGAACCAGAAUCAUCAUCUUCUGCAUCAUGCCUUAUGGCAAAAGAUGCUAAGGUAACUGAAUGCUAUCUAUCUGAAUCCAGUGAUGAUGAAUCUAGUGAUGAAUUUGGACCCAGCUAUGCAAAACUUGCUUCCCUUGCCACUAAACAACAGAAAGCUAUGGAACAUAUUCAAAAACUGUUAGACAAAAGCGAUGACCUGUUGGACGCUGAAAUGACUCGAUCUCAGUCCUUAAUUGAAGACAUAAAAAAUCUUUAUGUUAAGUAUGAGGAACUUGAAAGUCAUCAUGAAACGCUCUCAACAACUCAUGAAAAGCUUUCCUAUGAUUAUCUUCAAAGGAAGCAAGAACUCGAGAAAUUGAGAGCGGCUCAUGAUGAUCUUCAAAAGGAAAACGAGUCACUUCACGCUAAACAGAUCAGUCCCGCUCAGGAAGGAUUUGAACCACCAUGUAUUAAAUGCCUUGAGCGUGAUAACACUACUUCUGUUGCUGAAUGUUCUAUUGCUGCUACUGUUGCAAUAUCUUCAAUUGUUGAUGUGGUAACUAACCCCUCUGCUGAGGAUGCCAUUGCUAUUGCUGAUGAGAAUGCUAGGUUGAAGACAUUGCUUGAAACAGGGAUGUUUAAAAGUCUCAAAGGGCAUCAGACACUAUGUGAUGUCCUCAAAAGGCAGAUCCUGAACCGAAACCCUAGGAAAGAGGGUAUUGGGUUCGAAAGGAAAAUGAAUGCUGAUGGCUCUUACUGGAAACAUGAGCAGUACCCCAGAACCACAUGGGUUGCUGCAAAGGAACCUUCAGCGGAUCCAUCCACCAUAUCUGGCUUCACUUGUGCUAAUCCCACUAUUAUUGAUGAAUCCUUUGAUGCAAACUAUAAACUGUUUAAGAAUCAGAAUGGUGAAGUGUUUGCCGGGUAUAUUGGUACUAACUGCAGGAAUGGGCUGCCUAUGAAGAAAGUCUGGGUGCCGAAAAGAUGUUUGGAGAAUCUUCCUGUGAAUGUCGUCAUGACACCACACAUGAAGAAGACAAACCCCAUACCACAGGCUUCAUACGGUCCAAAGGCUUCAUACAGACAGAGGACUCACCUGAGUCGCACUAACGCAAAUGUUUUGCAGGGAAACCUUACUCAGGCCUAUGAAUAUGAGCGUGUUUCAUCAAACCGCCAUGUUCAUAAGACCAAGAACUACUCUGCUUAUUCUUAUGAGUACUAUUGUCCACCUGCAAGACUUUUUGCUAGGGCUCCAAAGCCAAAGUUCUCAUAUGUUGUACUUAGACUCAGUGCUUCGAAGCCACCCUUGAAGAUGUGGGUGGCUAAGAAAGCUUAACUCUCUUUUGCAGGGAAAGGUCUCUAGCCGAAAACCAAAAUCGUCUAAAGCUAUUGCUGGGGACCUUGAACAUCUUGUAGGGCGCAAGAUCAAAUGCCCAAAUGGUCUUAUUAUGUAUUUUGUUCCUGAGUUGCUUGCUACUUGCCCUAUCAGUCCUAACCUUGAUCUAAGCUUUCAUAAUCCACUUGCUCAUCAAAUGUUUAUGCUUCACAAUUCUCUUCGUGAAGCCUAUCCCCCUAACUGCACUGUAGGGUACGACACCAGCUGCUUCAGGAUGGAUUAUUGAUAGUGGGUGUACUAAUCACAUGACUGGCAAGCAAAGUCUUCUUAUGGACUCAACCUUACGUCCAUCUGACAAAAGUCACAUCACAUUUGCUGACACUGCAAAAGCUUCAGAAUGCUGGCUCUGGCAUCGGAGGCUAGGGCAUGCUAGCAUGAGGAACUUGCACACUCUUGCAAGAAAGAAGCAUGUCAUAGGCAUCGAGGGCGUCAAGUUCAAGAAGGAUCACUUAUGCGGUGCAUGUGAAGCAGGAAAGAUGACGAGGGCCAAGCAUCUCUCGAAGACAAUCAUGACAACGACUCAACCCUUCGAACUGCUCCACAUGGAUCUUUUCGGUCCCACUCAUUACUCAACUCUUACUACUACUGCUUGUCUCUAUGGCUUUGUCAUUGUUGACGAUUAUUCAAGAUAUACUUGAGUGCAUAUAAUCCUCUACAAGACUGAAGUGCAGGAUGUCUUCAGACGCUUCGCCAAUCGAGCAAUGAACAACUAUGGCAUCAGGAUAAAGCACAUCAAAAGUGACAAUGGCACUGAAUUCAAGAACACUGGCCUAGAUACAUAUCUUGAUACUUUGGGCAUCACACAUGAAUUCUCAGCUCCGUACACGCCAUAGCAGAAUGGCGUCGUCGAACGUAAGAACAGAACACUUAUUGAGAUGGCUCGGACGAUGCUUGAUGAAUACAAGACUCCAAGAAAAUUCUGGCAUGAAGCCAUUGAUACUGCAUGCCAUAUCAUCAACCGUGUUUAUCUUCACAAGCUUCUGAACAAGACAUCCUAUGAGCUCCUUACUGGCAAGAAGCCAAAUGUCAGUUACUUCAGAGUAUUUGGUGCCAGGUGCUGGAUCAAGGAUCCACAUCACACUUCAAAAUUUGCACCAAAAGCACAUGAAGGUUUUAUGCUUGGAUAUGGAAAGGAUUCGCACUCCUAUAGAGUCUUUAACCUCUUUCACUAUAAAGUGGUUGAAACUGUGGAUGCGCGGUUCGAUGAGACUAAUGGCUUGCAAAGAGAGCACCUGCCAAAUGUGCUAGAUGAAGUUCCAUCCAGUGAAUCAAUCAAACUUAUGGGAACUGGAGAAAUCAUACCUUUUGAAGCUCAGCCUGAAGAGGAACUUAUCAUCUCCACACCUGAUCAACCUGAAGACAAUGAUCAACCUGAAGACAAUGCUCAGCCUGAAGACAAUCCUUCUAACGAUGACAGUGAUCAGCAAGAGCAAAAUCUUCGUCCUGUACAUCCUCGUGUUGCAAAUGAAGUACAUAUUGAGAGAAUAAUUGAUAUCAUCAAUGCACCAGGUCCACUCACUCGUUCAAGGGCAACACAGCUAGCAAAUUUUUGUGGGCACUUCGCAUUUGUCUCAAUAUCUGAACCCAAGAAAGUUGAUGAAGCCUUCAUGGAACCUGAAUGGAUUCAAGCUAUGCAAGAAGAGCUUCAACAUUUUGAGUUGAAUAAUGUAUGGGAACUGGUUGAGCGUCCUGAUCCUCGCAAGCACAAUAUAAUAGGCACCAAAUGGAUAUAUCGCAACAAGCAAGAUGAGCAUGGUCAAGUUGUCAGAAACAAAGCUCGUCUCAUUGCUCAAGGAUAUACUCAAGUUGAAGGGAUUGACUUCGAUGAGACAUUUGCUCAUGUGGCUAGACUUGAAGCCAUACGCAUACUGCUGGCCUAUGCAAAUCAUCAUAACAUUCUUCUGCAUCAAAUGGAUAUGAAGAGCGCUUUUCUCAAUGGCAAGAUUGACGAAGAAGUGUAUGUUGCACAACCGCCUGGCUUUGAAGAUCCAAAACAUCCUAAUAUGAUGUACAAGCUCAACAAGGCACUGUAUGGCCUCAAACAAGCCCCUAGGGCUUGGUAUAACACACUCAAAGACUUCCUGAAGAGCAAAGGCUUCAAACCUGGUUCCCUCGACCCCACUCUCUUCACGAAGACAUAUGAUGGUAAACUGUUUGUGUGCCAAAUAUAUGUGGAUGGCAUUAUCUUCGGCUGCACCAAUCAGAAAUACACUGAUGAGUUUGGAUAUAUGAUGCAAGAGCAAUAUCAGAUGUCCAUGAUGGGAGAGCUGAAGUUCUUCCUUGGUCUUCAACUAUGUCAGCAACGCAACGGCAUCUUUAUAUCUCAAGAGAAAUACCUCAAAGAUUGCCUGAAGAAAUUUGGAAUGCAAGAUUGCAAAGGCUACACGACGCCAAUGCCAGCCAAACAUCAUCUAGGUCCCGACAACAAUGGUAAAGAGUUCGAUCAAAAGGUAUACCGCUCCAUGAUUGGUUCCUUACUUUAUUUAUGUGCAUCUAGGCCAGAUAUCAUGCUUAGUGUUUGCAUGUGUGCCCGGUUCCAAGCGGCACCAAAGGAAUCACAUCACUUAGCUGUGAAGCGAAUUCUCAGAUAUUUGGCUCACACCCCAACACUAGGAUUAUGGUAUCCAAAGGGCUCAGAGUUUGAUCUAGUUGGAUUCUCGGAUGCUGAUUAUGCUGGUGACAAGGUGGAUCGCAAGUCUACAUCAGGCACAUGUCAUUUUCUGGGACGAUCACUUGUAUGUUGGUCUUCAAAGAAGCAGAAUUGUGUAUCUCUCUCCACUGCUGAAUCUGAAUACAUUGCUGCUGGAUCUUGCUGCGCUCAGCUUCUAUGGAUGAAGCAAACACUCAAAGACUAUGGCAUUCACCUGAAGUAAGUACCACUCUACUGUGACAACGAAAGCGCCAUCAAGAUUGCCAACAACCCAGUUCAGCACUCGAAGACAAAGCACAUUGAAAUUCGUCAUCACUUUCUCAGAGAUCAUGUUGUGAAGGAAGAUAUUGAUAUCAUACACGUCAACACUGAAGAGCAAUUGGCAGAUAUCUUCACCAAGCCCUUAGAUGAGAAGAGGUUUUGCAAGUUACGGUGUGAGCUAAAUAUCUUGGAAUCCUCAAAUGUCCUGUGAUCAGGCACACAUCCUAACACUUAUGCAUGUUGAUGACUUAGAUGUGCAACACAUGAAGUAAAGUAUAUCUUCAAUCAAUGAAGACUUACAUUCUGAGUGUGAAUACAUUAACGUGGAAUUUGACUUCGGAGCGCCGCGAUAAUUGUGCGUCGUGUCUGGGUCUAAUACUUCCUAUACGAUGGGUAACGCCACCACCAAAUUCUUCUGUUUGAAGUGUUUUACCCAUGUCGUUACAUGUGCUAUGUCUUCAUAUUUUGUUUGUCUUCAUUUUCAACUUGUAUUCAUGAUUAUCUUCACUAUGUUGACGUUAUUGUCUUCUGAUGUAUACAUACUAGUGUUCUGUCCUCUACAACAUUCACUUAUAGCUAAGUCUUCCUUGUUGAAUCUUUUGAACUAAGUGAAUAUGAUCGGACCCUAAUCUCUCUAUGCUUUCUAUCUCAAACUAUAUCUGUACAAAUCAUAUGCAUUCUAUUGAAACUGUCGAAUGUCUUCUCUGCGUCCUAGUCAGCAGAAGAUACAGAGACAAACAUUAAGUCUGUUUUCAAUGCUAAUUCCUUCACCUGAAACCCGGAGAAGUGGGAACGACCACCCGACAAUCCAGACGUGCGUGGAAACGUGGAACAAUCUCCGAUAUGUUGCAUGAUGGCCACGUGUCCUUCAGAUGUGAAUCGCCAAGGGCACCUGUGUAAUAACACUAUGUCGUCCCUGUCCCUAUAAAUACACGCCUCACCACAGUCAUUAUCCUUUCUUCCCCUCUCGCACAAACCCUAGCGCCACCGCUAGCCCUCGACGAUGUCGGUGAUGAAGCGCUUAGCUGUCGCGACCUCACCGACGUCGUCUUCACGCCGGCCGCGGACAUCGUCUUCUCCGCCGUCGCCGUAGGUGUCCUCCGUCGCCAAGUUAGGGCACGGACGAUUGAACUGCUCGGCCUCCUCUCCCACUCCGUCUAGCAGUUCUUCGUGUGGUAAAUAAAACUUCCUUUUUACGGCCCCUUUUGAUCCUAUAGAUUCAUCACUUUCUACCACAAGAAGUUUCUAUUCACACAAGUUGGAUCUAUUUCAUACUGCAUCUCAUAAUAUGCCUAGUAUGUUCACUUAUGCUUCACAAAGAAGUUAGAUUCCUCACUUGUACUUAUUCGUGGAUUCGUACAAAUCUGGAACCAACUCUCUAUCUAUGAGUGAAUGUCUUCGCACUAUGAGGUCAAUGUCUUCUAAACUGAUUUAUCUUCAAAAUCUUCUGAGAAUGCAUAUGACCUCUUCCCCUUCCCUCGCACCUUAAUGCUGUCACAGGUACAUGUCCGUGGGAGAAUCCCUUGGUUCUCAUAGUCUGCAUUCAUUUGCAGAAUUCUUACAACAUCACAUUAACUCUCCCAAAGCCAGUUCCUGUUUGACCAGAAAGCGAAAGCCUUUGAAGCCUUUAAACGUGUUGAAGCCCUUCAGUUUAAGCUUCAUGGAACCAGAGAAACCUACAAGAAAGUGUGGCAGACAGCGUCGUGACAACACCUCAAGAGAUUUGCCUCCUGACCUCUAUGAGCUGUACAAGACAGAUCCAGAGGAGGACUACAAUCAGCGAAAAACUCAAAUCCAAUGGAUUCGAAGAUAUUGGGCAGAACAGUGGUUCAAGUACAGGUUCGUGACCCAGGAGUAUGCUGAGAAGAAUACCAUCAAACGACCAUGGGGAGACAUUCUAUACAGAAAUCUUCAACCCAAGUCCAGAGCUGAAGCCAUUGAACAAGGCUUCUAUCCUUGCAUGGUCCAUGGACCGCAGCCUGCGGAUGCAGACCCAUCUUCAUUAUUGUGGUGCCGCGAUGAUAAUAUGUUCAAGCGCAACCUUCAGUUUGCCAGGAACUCGGCCAAAGAGAACAAGAAGUCACGAGGCUUAGACUUCAAUCCAGGCCCCUCUGCUCCUCGUGCUGAUGGCACACGCGAAGCUGAACCCAAUCUUGUUGGGCCCUUAUACAACCUGGAAGGUCUCAUCACUCAUAUAAUGGUUCAAGGGACAGCCGUGGAUGAGCCUGCAGAUGACGCUGAAUCUGAUGAAGCGCCUGCACCGCCGAAGCCAAAGAAACUGAAGAAGCCUAAAGCUUCAAAGCCUGCUCCUGCACCAAAGGUCUUAUAGGCGAAGCCUCUGUCCACUGCACCUCCUGAACACAGUGUGUAGUCUGAAGAUUUGUCACGCAUCUCCAAGCCCUCGAGAGUAAAGAUGCCCUUGCAACCCACCAGCCAAGAACUGACUGCUGCUGCUAUUCUGCGCAACGACGCCAUUGAUCUGUCCAGCAAUGAAGAUCUUGCAGAUGACGCUCUUGAGCAACUGAUCAAGAGCAAAGAAGAAGCAGAAAUCUUCAAUGAGUUGCCUCUCUUUGACGUAGCAAUCCUUCACAACUUCAUUGAUGAGUGGUUUGAAACCCCCAAUCUCAGCUUUGAUGAUCUGCAACUUCCAAUUGGCCUCAGCGUCGCUUUCACUGGCGCCAUUGCUUCUGAGCUAGCUCUAGCUCAGUGCAUCGUUGAACUGAAGCAAAAUAUCGACUAUGAGAAAGCUCGGUUCAAGCAGCACAUGGCAAAGCUCAGCGUGCAAGAUGUCAAGAACUUCAAGACUAUGCUGCACGAGCUCAAGGAAGCCUUUCUCAAGAAACGCGAAGAAGCUAAAGGUUCUCAUGAGCGCAUGAAGAGUCUGGCUGACAAGUGCGUGCAAGCCUACAAUGAAGCUGAAAAGCGCAAGGCUCUUGGGCGUCCUGGCAUCGAUCCCAGAAUGGCUGCAAAGAAGAAGAAGAAGCCAGCUAUGGCCGAACCCGAAGCAACAAGGCAAGAAGCACAUCCCAUUGUCUUCCCAGCCAGUAUGACAGGCUCGAAGCCUAAGGUCCCCACAGUGGUUUCAGAAUUAAAGAAGACAAGGGCUGCUGAGGCUGAAGCCAGAAAGAGGAAACAUCCUAAAGCUUCUGAUGUCGCUCCCUCCAAGAAGAAGCGCAAAACCAAGAAAGAUCGGGCUGCUCCCAUAGAGCCCCUUAUUGUUGAUCCCAUCUCGGUUUCUCGUCCUGCCUCUUCGCAUCAAGAACGACGGAUGGUAAUUCAUGCGCCUGCUUCCACAGAGGCUCCUGAAGCUGAAGACAUUCCAGCAGUUGACCCCACCGCUGCUGAAGACAUUGGUCACCAUGACAAUGUUGAAGAUGAUGAUGUCCUUCCUCAGAUCAAGCACAAAUUGGUAUCAUCGCCUGUGCUUAUGCAUAGCGAACUCAUUAGCAUUGGUCGUCCUCUGACGCCAACUGCUCAGGAUGCAUCGUGGGCUAAUCACCCACAGAGACAAGACACUCCAAGCUCUCCCCAACCGCAAGCUACCCCAACAGUGCAAGAUGAUGAUGACUUUGUGGCCCAGCACACUCCAUCUCCACAAGCGUCGCCCGCAUUACGCAGGCUUCGCAAAGGACCAAGGCCCCAAGUCACUCACACAAUGCACGUGUCUGAAUCCGAAGCCAAAAUGGCUGAAGAUUUUCCGGCUGCAUCAGCCGAUGAAGAAGAAGAUGAAGAAGAAGCCCCAAGAGUUUCAAGAGUUGCUACACCCCCGUCUCACCAAGAUGUUGUUCUCGAGGAGAACGUGACCGGCCCUCCAGCUUAUAAAGUGGAGGUUAACAACCCUGAAGUAACCACCAACAUCACUGUUGAUGCCAAUGACGUUGUCAUGGUUGACGCCAAUAUGGCGCCGGAAGCCAAUGAGGCGCCAGAAGCCAAUGAGGCACCAGAAGUCAAUGCUGCAACACCUGAAGUCAAUGCUGCAACACCUGAGGUCCAAGUACCUGAAGCACAUGUGGCCCAUGAAGACAAUGCCAAUGCCCUUGUUCCCCCUCCAAGACCUCACACAAUGGAGCUGGCAUUUGAUCGUGGUCAGCCAGUUAUUGUUCGAUGGCCCAUUCUGACUCCUCCGCCUGCUGCUGGUCCACAAUUUGAGUACCACGUUGAGCACAGGCCUCAAGUCCAAAAGCCCAAGCCAAGAAUUCCACGUUUCCCAGGCACUGCCACUUCACCUGGGGUCUUCAAUGCGAAUGGUUUCGUGGCACAUAAUACCUUCUUCAACAGCUCCAAGAACCCUUAUACCAGACCGCGCAUUUCCUCAGAUCGGUUCUGGAGCUAUCAGCAGCGCAACUACUAUUCUUGUGUCCUAUACAAUCAAGGGCGCAUAUUUCCACAUAUGCGCCUCGACUCUGAAGCUACAGCUGGUCUGCCCUGCCUCGAAGAAGCAUUGGACUAUUUCAGAGAUGCUAGUCUGUUGCAGUUCAUCACUGAUAAGGAGCACUGGAAUGAAGAAUUGCUGCUUCAAUUCUAUGCCACUCUUCAUAUUCGAGGCUACAACAGGGAUCCGAAGACUUGGGUCCUUGAGUGGAUGACAGGCAAUGUCCAUCAUGAAGCUAAAGCUCUUGAUAUCAUUGAGCUCACAGGCCUGCACACUCCUGGUGAAUACUAUGAACCAGGUUGUCAACAACAUCAAAAUGCCUUGGAAAGCAUCUUUCAGAAGCCAGAACCCAACAUGAGUCAAAUGUUGAGCAUGAUGAAGCCCCUGCCUCACGACGCUGAAUACCCAUCUGAGUUCUUUGUUGAAGACCUAGAGUACCUGCCUCGCACCAUUUACCACAUCAUCAGGAAGACUCUAUGGCCUAUCAAAGGACACUCAUCUGCAGCGAAGCUUGAAGGAGCAAUGAAGACUUUGGUUUUCUAUAUCUUCAAUGGCAUCAGCUUCAAUGCUCAAGACUUCUUCAUCAGGCAGUUGGCUGCGUCUGGCUCCAACAUCUUUGGGUUGAAAUUCUAUGCUCCAUGGGUCAUGCGUCUGAUCAAGCGUCACUCAGCCUUCAACUAUCAGCCGUCUGCGUGCAAUCAUCUUAUAUUCUUGCCCGAGGUUGAUCUGUCAGUUGAAGCCAUUUACCCAGAGCCUGCUAAGGAUCCCAUUUAUCUUCACAAUGCUGAUCACCAAAGCUUCACCCAGCCCAUUGAAGGAAUUCCAGCAGUGUCUCGUGUUUAUCCCCUUGCUGGAAACACACGUGCCCCUCGUGCUCAAACUGAUGCCACUGGUAGCACCAUUGCGCAAAGGCCUCAAAGACGAUCUCGUGUCCUCAAUGACCGAGAGCUUGUCGUCACGCUGCAUCAGAAACAGGACAAACAUCACGACUGGCUUAAGCGUCAGAUGCAAAACCUCUUGGUGGAUGUCAACCGCAAUCGCAAUCUUGCCACCAAGAAUGCCUUUGUCACUCAUGAAACCUGUCGGAGGUCGUGGAAGAGUUUGCCCCUACUGAGUGUUGAAGCUAAUCUGCAUGACGAUGGCUUCACCGAACGCUUCAAGUUUGACUCAACUCCUCCCAGAAAUGCUCACUUGCGUCGGACUCCCUCACUUGAAGACUCUGAAUACUCGUCCUCAGCUGCAACCGUAAAUGCCAGAGACAUUGAUGACCAAGAUGAUGCAACUUCACCUCCUCCAACUUCAGCGCGUGACGACACUGCACCAAGUUCCUCUCCACCACCGGAUCUCACCAACGACCCUGCUGCCUCGCCUGCACCUCAUGGGAUCGAGUAGGCGCUCUAUGUCUUCAAACCUUUUUGGUCCUCACUGACAAAAGGGGGAGAAGCAUAUGAGUUGAUAGUCUUCAAGCGGGUCCAUAUGGGUGGUUGCUUUACUUUUUGCUACUUUUGCCAAGUGCUUACAACUCUCGUUUUCGAUACAUUUGGUCGCCUGCUACUUAUUUGCUAUCCUGUGAUGCGAUGAUAAAUUCCGCAUGUGCGACGAUAAAUUCUGCACUUAGAUCAUUUUGCAGACGUCCAUUUUUCAGUAUGCAUGUCAUUAUCUUCACAUACUUUUCUUGCAUGAUGAAUUGUCAUCAUAAGUUGAAGAGGAUCUCCACAAGUACAACCUGCCAUGUGCAUUUGCAUACCAAAAACAAAUUACUUAUAUGCACAUCUUCAGGGGGAGCCUUUACCACUUAUGGUGACAAUCCCCUAUCCUUUACAAUUUCACAUAUUUUAUUCCCCGUUGAAAACUUCAACUAGUUUGUCAUCAAUCACCAAAAAGAGGGAGAUUGUAAGUGCAUCUAGUGCCACCCCUAGUUGGUUUUGGAGUAUUGACGACAAACCUAGUUGAGGGACUAAUGUGUUUGUGAGAAUUGCAGAAUAACACAGGUAGAAGUCCCUCAUUGAUUCGGUUUUCCUACCAGAGAUGACCCCUAAAAAUGUAAGAAGACAUUGAAGUCAAAGGUGGUAUGUGAAGACAUUCACAUUGAAGACUAUGACAAGAGAGGAAAUCGCAUGAAAACUAUGGAGCGCGAAGAUUUAGUUCUUUCGUCGUUCUUUUUCUUCUUUGUUGAGUCAUAGUAACCACCGUACUGUUAAAUGGGGUCCAAGUGAACCAGUCAGAAUGACUGAAGUGAUGCUUAACCAAAAUCCUAUGUCUUCGAGUGAAGACUAUGAGAGCAAAUCUUGUCCAGAGUUGGAUAAGUCAGCUUUGCUUGUAGCUCAAGUAAAGUUGUCGUGUGUGUUUGAAAUCUAACCGUUGGAACACGUGUCAGUUCCUUAGUGACCAAGGGUCAUUUCGGAAAAAUCAGGUCGGGUUGCCUAGUGGCUAUAAAUAGCCCACCCCCUACAACCAUAAACGGUUGGCUGCUCAGAGUUAGUACACGGCUUUUGUCGUUUGACAGCAACCCACCUCAAAGCCUUUGAGAGAGAAUUCCUUGCGAGGAUAAAGCCCUAAACACCCAGAGCCAAAGAGUGUUAGGCAUCACUGAAGUCUUCCUGUCUGUGUGAUCUGAAGACUUAUUACACUUGAGGACUAUGAAUCCUCCAGCCGGUUAGGCGUCGCGUUCUGAGCAUCCAAGAGUCAUUGUGGAUCGCCGGUGAACGAAGUCUGUGAAGGUUUGGAAGUCUACCUUGAAGACUUACCAGAGUGAUUGGGCGAGGUCUGUGUGACCUUAGCUCAAGGGGAAUACGGUGAGGACUGAGUGUCCUGAGCUGCGUGUUCAGGACUGGGUGUCCGGGACUGUGUGUCCUCAGGUUUAAAUACCUAGCCGCCCUAACCAGACGUACAACUGUCACCGCAGUUGGAACUGGUCUACCAAACCUUUGUCUUCACCAAGCUCACUGGUUCUAUCCUUCCCAUCUCUUUAUUUACAGUUGGUCCUUGUGAAGUCAUUGCCUAUUUGCAUUGUCCAUUUGUCUUCACUGUGUGACUCUUUGUUCAGAUUGGUUUCAUAUUAUCUUCCAUCCUGAUCCGUACUGGCUAGCUGUUGUUAGUCUUUGUGCUUUCACUUCAUUGAAUACUUGACUAUGGCUUGUCUAGGGCAGUCUACCUUCCGCUGCAUGGUUAUAGGUUCAUUUCUAUUGUUUGUCAUCAAAACUCCCAUGUUUUGAAGACUUUCAUAAAAAUCGCCUAUUCACCCCCCCUCUAGUCGAUAUAACGCACUUUCACUUUUGCAUACGAACUUGAAUUGGGAAUUUUUUUAUAUCAAAAUCGAUCGGUUCAAUGAGACGAAGACAAUUCAUGUAGAUCAUUUUUUCAUAUGAGGUCGUCUUGGGGGCUUAAUCGGCCAAACUGUACUCCGAAUAUAAGAUCUUGGUACUUUGAGCAUAGUUUCGGCCUUUGAGAUGAAAUCGGACGGUGAUGGCCCAAACUUCAAAGAUGUUCAUAUCAACAAUAUGGAACUCUUCAUGUAGAUCACUUCUCCAUUUGAGGCCAUCUUAAAUAAGUUCUUGACCGUGCCAAAAUCGGGUGUCAACACAUGCCCCCCUGUUUUUCGGCAAAGCUUGUGUGCCGAAAAAUAACUUGCACAUAGCUUGCUCUAGGGACGAUGUCAACACUCCAUAGGCUAUUUUGCAUGUUCUUAGGAUGAUAAGUUUAUAUCGGCCAUUGCUUGUGUGAAUAUUCUAAUGCAAUAUUGGGUGAAACUUCUCAACUUCUAUAACAAUCUGGUGAUAAGGUUCCAUAGAUCAAAACCAUCCUCCGAACCAUAUUGUUCACCCUUUCGCUAGGAUUCUGCAGAUAAGUAAGAAUGAACUUUCUCCAAUCCUUACUUCGCCUGCAUAAAAGUUUCAUUUGUGGCCGAAGCUGUGGACUUCGGUUCGGCCUUACCUAUGUUGACGAGACGAAGCAUCGGCUAUUGAGAGAAAUGCAAUACACCAUGAUUAACAUAGUAGCCAGAUGCUUGAUGUGCCAACUGAAGGAAAUAUGCCCUAGAGGCAAUAAUAAACUUAUUAUUUAUUUCCUUAUAAUCAUGAUAAAUGUUUAUUAUUCAUGCUAGAAUUGUAUUAACCAGAAACAUGAUACAUGUGUGAAUACAUAGACAAACAAAGUGUCACUAGUAUGCCUCUACUUGACUAGCUCAUUAAUCAAAGAUGGUUAUGUUUCCUAACCAUGAACAAUGAGUUGUUAUUUGAUUAACAAGGUCACAUCAUUAGUUGAAUGAUCUGAUUGACAUGACCCAUUCCAUUAGCUUAGCACCCGAUCGUUUAGUAUGUUGCUAUUGCUUUCUUCAUGACUUAUACAUGUUCCUAUAACUAUGAGAUUAUGCAACUCCCGUUUGCCGGAGGAACACUUUGGGUGCUACCAAACGUCACAACGUAACUGGGUGAUUAUAAAGGAGCAUUACAGGUGUCUCUAAAGGUAGAUGUUGGGUUGGCGUAUUUCGAGAUUAGGUUUUGUCACUGAUUGUCGGAGAGGUAUUUCUGGGCCCUCUCGGUAAUGCACAUCACUUAAGCCUUGCAAGCAUUGCAACUAAAUGAGUUAGUUGCGGGAUGAUGUAUUAUAGAACGAGUAAAGAGACUUGCCAGUAACGAGAUUGAACUAGGUACUGGAAUACCGACGAUCGAAUCUCGGGCAAGUAACAUACCGAUGACAAAGGGAACAACGUAUGUUGUUAUGCGGUCUGACCGAUAAAGAUCUUCAUAGAAUAUGUAGGAGCCAAUAUGGGCAUCCAGGUCCCGCUAUUGGUUAUUGACCAAAGACGUGUCUCGGUCAUGUCUACAUUGUUCUCGAACCCGUAGGGUCCGCACGCUUAAGGUUACGAUGACAGUUAUAUUAUGAGUUUAUGCAUUUUGAUGUACCGAAGGUUGUUCGGAGUCCCGGAUGUGAUCACGGACAUGACGAGGAGUCUCCAAAUGGUCGAGACAUAAAGAUUGAUAUAUUGGAAGCCUAUGUUUGGAUAUCGGAAGUGUUCCGGGUGAAAUCGGAAUUUUACCGGAGUACCGGGAAGGUUACCGGAACCCCCCGGGAGCUAAAUGGGCCAUGAUGGGCCUUAGUGGAAAAGAGAAGAGGCAGCCCUACAUGGGCUGUGCGCCUACCCCUUCCCCUAGUCCUAUUAGGACUAGGAGAGGUGGCCGGCCCCCUCUCUCUCUUUUCCCCCUCCGCGAAUCCUAUUUCAACUAGGAUUGGGGGGGGAAUCCUACUCCCAGAGGGAGUAGGACUCUCCUGGCGCGCCACACCUUGCCCGGCCAGCCUCCCCCCUCUAGUCCUUUAUAUACUGAGGCAGAGGCACCCUAGAACACACAAGUUGAUCCACGUGAUCUAUUCCUUAGUCGUGUGCGGUGCCCCCUGCCACCAUAUUCCUCGAUAAUACUGUAGCGGAGUUUAGGCGAAGCCCUGCCGCUGUAGUACAUCAAGAUCGUCACCACGCUAUCGUGCUGACGGAACUCUUCCCCGACACUUUGCUGGAUCGGAGUCCGGGGAUCGUCAUCGAGCUGAACGUUUGCUCGAACUCGGAGGUGCCGUAGUUUCGGUGCUUGAUCGGUUGGAUCGUGAAGACGUACGACUACUUCCUCUACGUCGUGUCAAUGCUUCCGCAGUCGGUCUGCGUGGGUACAUAGACAACACUCUCCCUUCUCGUUGCUAUGCAUCACAUGAUCUUACGUGUGCGUAGGAAAUUUUUUGAAAUUACUACGAAACUCAACAGUGGCAUCCGAGCCUAGGUUAUUUAUGUUGAUGUUAUAUGCACGAGUAGAACACAAGUGAAUUGUGGGCGAUAUAAGUCAUACUGCCUACCAGCAUGUCAUACUUUGGUUUGGCGGCAUUGUUGGACGAGACGACCCGGACCAACAUUACGCGUACGCUUACGCGAGACCGGUUCCCCCGACGUGCUUUGCACAUAGGUGGCUUGCGGGCGACUGUCUCUCCAACUUUAGUUGAACCAAGUAUGGCUACGCCCGGUCCUUGCGAAGGUUAAAACGGAGUCUAUUUGACAAACUAUCGUUGUGGUUUUGAUGCGUAGGUGAGAUUGGUUCUUGCUUAAGCCCGUAGCAGCCACAUAAAACUUGCAACAACAAAGUAGAGGACGUCUAACUUGUUUUUGCAGGGCAUGUUGUGAUGUGAUAUGGUCAAGACAUGAUGCUGAACUUUAUUGUAUGAGAUGAUCAUGUUUUGUAACCAAGUUAUCGGCAACUGGCAGGAGCCUUAUGGUUGUCAUUUUAUUGUAUGCAAUGAAAUCGCGAUGUAAUGCUUUACUUUAUUACUAAGCGGUAGUGAUAGUCAUGGAAGCAUAAGCUUGGCGAGACGACAACGAUGCUACGAUGGAGAUCAAGGUGUCACGCCGGUGACGAUGGUGGUCACGACGGUGCUUCGGAGAUGGAGAUCACAAGCACAAGAUGAUGAUGGCCAUAUCAUAUCACUUAUAUUGAUUGCAUGUGAUGUUUAUCCUUUUAUGCAUCUUAUCUUGCUUUGAUUGACGGUAGCAUUAUAAGAUGAUCUCUCACUAAAUUAUCAAGAAGUGUUCUCCCUGAGUAUGCACCGUUGCGAAAAUUCUUCGUGCUGAGACACCACGUGAUGAUCGGGUGUGAUAGGUUCUACGUUCAAAUACAACGGGUGCAAAACAGUUGCACACGCGGAAUACUCAGGUUAUACUUGACGAGCCAAGCAUAUACAGAAAUGGCCUCGGAACACGGAGACCGAAAGGUCGAGCGUGAAUCAUAUAGUAGAUAUGAUCAACAUAACAAUGUUCACCAUUGAAAACUACUCCAUCUCACGUGAUGAUCGGUUAUGGUUUAGUUGAUUUGGAUCACGUAAUCACUUAGAGGAUUAGAGGGAUGUCUAUCUAAGUGGGAGUUCUUUAAUUAACUUGAUUAACUGAACUUAAAUUUAUCAUGAAACUUAGUACCUGAUUAGUAUCUUGCUUGUUUAUGUUUGAUUGUAGAUAGAUGGCUCGUGCUGUUGUUCCGUUGAAUUUUAAUGCGUUCCUUGAGAAAGCAAAGUUGAAAGAUGAUGGUAGCAAUUACACGGACUGGGUCCGUAACUUGAGGAUUAUCCUCAUUGCUGCACAGAAGAAUUACGUCCUGAAAGCACCACUGGGUGCCAAGCCUGCUGUAGGAGCAAUGCCGGAUGUUAUGAACGUCUGGCAGAGCAAAGCUGAUGACUACUCGAUAGUUCAGUGUGCCAUGCUUUACGGCUUAGAAUCGGGACUUCAACGACGUUUUGAAUGUCAUGGGGCAUAUGAGAUGUUUCAGGAGUUGAAGUUAAUAUUUCAAGCAAAUGCCCGGAUUGAGAGAUAUGAAGUCUCCAAUAAGUUCUAUAGCUGCUGCAAGAUGGAGGAGAACAGUUCUGUCAGUGAGCAUAUACUCAAAAUGUCUGGGUAUAAUAAUCACUUGAUUCAAUUGGGAGUUAAUCUUCCAGAUGAUAGUGUCAUUGACAGAAUUCUUCAAUCACUGCCACCAAGCUACAAGAGCUUCGUGAUGAACUAUAAUAUGCAAGGGAUGAACAAGACUAUUCCCGAGCUCUUCGCGAUGCUGAAAGCUGCGGAGGUAGAAAUCAAGAAGGAGCAUCAAGUGUUGAUGGUCAACAAGACCACUACUUUCAAGAAAAAGGGCAAAGGGAAGAAGAAGGGGAACUUCAGAAAGAGCGGCAAGCAAGUUGCUACUCAAGAGAAGAAACCCAAGCCUGGACCUAAGCCUGAAACUGAGUGCUUCUAUUGCAAGCAGACUGGUCACUGGAAGCGGAACUGCCCCAAGUAUUUGGCGGAUAAGAAGGAUGGCAAGGUGAACAAAGGUAUAUGUGAUAUACAUGUUAUUGAUGUGUACCUUACUAAUGCUCGCAGUAGCACCUGGGUAUUUGAUACUGGUUCUGUUGCUAAUAUUUGCAACUCGAAACAGGGACUACGGAUCAAGCGAAGAUUGGUUAAGGACGAGGUGACGAUGCGCGUGGGAAACGGUUCCAAAGUCGAUGUGAUCGCAGUCAGCACGCUACCUCUACAUCUACCUUCGGGAUUAGUAUUAGACCUAAAUAAUUGUUAUUUGGUGCCAGUGUUAAGCAUGAACAUUAUAUCUGGAUCUUGUUUGAUGCGAGACGGUUAUUCAUUUAAAUCAGAGAAUAAUGGUUGUUCUAUUUAUAUGAGUAAUAUCUUUUAUGGUCAUGCACCCUUGAAGAGUGGUCUAUUCUUAUUGGAUCUCGAUAGUAGCAACACACAUAUUCAUAAUGUUGAAGCCAAAAGAUGCAGAGUUGAUAAUGAUAGUGCAACUUAUUUGUGGCACUGCCGUUUAGGUCAUAUAGGUGUAAGGCGCAUGAAGAAGCUCCAUUCUGAUGGACUUUUGGAACCACUUGAUUAUGAAUCACUUGGUACUUGCGAAACGUGCCUCAUGGGCAAGGUGACCAAAAUGCCGUUCUCCGGUACUAUGGAGAGAGCAACAAAUUUGUUGGAAAUCAUACAUACAGAUGUAUGUGGUCCGAUGAAUAUUGAGGCUCGUGGCGGAUAUCGUUAUUUUCUCACCUUCACAGAUGAUUUAAGCAGAUAUGGGUAUAUUUACUUAAUGAAACAUAAGUCUGAAACAUUUGAAAAGUUCAAAGAAUUUCAGAGUGAAGUUGAAAAUCAUCGUAACAAGAAAAUAAAGUUUCUACGAUCUGAUCGUGGAGGAGAAUAUUUGAGUUACGAGUUUGGUGUACAUUUGAAAAAUUGUGGAAUAGUUUCGCAACUCACGCCACCCGGAACACCUUAGCGUAAUGGUGUGUUCGAACGUCGUAAUCGUACUUUACUGGAUAUGGUGUGAUCUAUGAUGUCUCUUACUGAUUUACCGCUAUCGUUUUGGGGAUACGCUCUAGAGACAGCCGCAUUCACGUUAAAUAGGGCACCAUCAAAAUCCGUUGAGACGACGCCUUAUGAACUGUGGUUUGGCAAGAAACCAAAGUUGUCGUUUCUGAAAGUUUGGGGCUGCGAUGAUUAUGUGAAAAAGCUUCAACCUGAUAAGCUCGAACCCAAAUCGGAGAAAUGUGUCUUCAUAGGAUAUCCAAAGGAAACUAUUGGAUACACCUUCUAUCACAGAUCCGAAGGCAAGACUUUUGUUGCUAAAUUCGGAAACUUUCUGGAGAAGGAGUUUCUCUCGAAAGAAGUGAGUGGGAGGAAAGUAUAGCUUGACGAGGUAACUGUACCUGCUCCCUUAUUGGAAAGUAGUACAUCACAGAAAACUGUUUCUAUGACACCUACACCAGUUAGUGAGGAAGCUAAUGAUAAUGAUCAUGAAACUUCAGAACAAGAUACUAUUGAACCUCAUAGAUCAACCAGAGCAAGAUCCGCACCAGAGUGGUACGGUAAUCCCGUUCUGGAAGUCAUGCUACUAGAUCAUGAUGAACCUACGAACUAUGAAGAAGCGAUGGUGAGCCCAGAUUUCGCAAAGUGGCUUGAAGCCAUGAAAUCUGAGAUGGGAUCCAUGUAUGAGAACAAAGUGUGGACUUUGGUUGACUUGCCCGAUGAUCGACAAGCAAUUGAGAAUAAAUGGAUCUUCAAGAAGAAGACUGACGCUGACGGUAAUAUCACUGUCUACAAAGCUCGACUUGUCGCGAAAGGUUUUCGGCAAGUUCAAGGGAUUGACUACGAUGAGACCUUCUCACCCGUAGCGAUGCUUAAGUCUGUCCGAAUCAUGUUAGCAAUUGCCGCAUUUUAUGAUUAUGAAAUUUGGCAGAUGGAUGUCAAAACUGCAUUCCUGAAUGGAUUUCUAGAAGAAGAGUUGUAUAUGAUGCAACCAGAAGGUUUUGUCGAUCCAAAGGGAGCUAACAAAGUGUGCAAGCUCCAGCGAUCCAUUUAUGGACUGGUGCAAGCCUCUCGGAGUUGGAAUAAACGUUUUGAUAGUGUGAUCAAAGCAUUUGGUUUUAUACAGACUUUUGGAGAAGCCUGUAUUUACAAGAAAGUGAGUGGGAGCUCUAUAGCAUUUCUAAUAUUAUAUGUGGAUGACAUAUUGUUAAUUGGAAAUGAUAUAGAAUUUCUGGAUAGCAUAAAGGGAUACUUGAAUAAGAGUUUUUCAAUGAAAGACCUCGGUGAAGCUGCUUACAUAUUAGGCAUUAAGAUCUAUAGAGAUAGAUCAAGACGCUUAAUUGGACUUUCACAAACAACAUACCUUGAGAAAAUUUUGAAGAAGUUCAAAAUGGAUCAAGCAAAGAAAGGAUUCUUGCCUGUGUUACAAGGUGUGAAAUUGAGUAAGACUCAAUGCCCGACCACUGCAGAAGAUAGAGAGAAUAUGAAAGAUGUUCCCUAUGCAUCAGCGAUAGGAUCUAUCAUGUAUGCAAUGUUGUGCACCAGACCUGAUGUGUGCCUUGCUAUAAGUCUAGCAGGGAGGUACCAAAGUAAUCCAAGAGUGGAUCACUGGACAACGGUCAAGAACAUCCUGAAAUACCUGAAAAGGACUAAGGAUAUGCUUCUCGUAUAUGGAGGUGACAAAGAGCUCGUCGUAAAAGGUUACGUUGAUGCAAGCUUUGACACUGAUCCGGACGAUUCUAAAUCGCAAACCGGAUACGUGUUUACAUUAAACGGUGGAGCUGUCAGUUGGUGCAGUUCUAAACAAAGCGUCGUAGCGGGAUCUACAUGUGAAGCGGAAUACAUAGCUGCUUCGGAAGCAGCGAACGAAGGAGUCUGGAUGACGGAGUUCAUAUCCGAUCUAGGCGUCAUACCUAGCGCAUCGGGUCCAAUGAAAAUCUUUUGUGACAAUACUGGUGCAAUUGCCUUGGCAAAGGAAUCCAGAUUUCACAAAAGAACCAAGCACAUCAAGAGAUGCUUCAACUCCAUCCGGGAUCUAGUCCAGGUGGGAGACAUAAAGAUUUGCAAGAUACAUACAGAUCUGAAUGUUGCAGACCCAUUGACUAAGCCUCUUCCACGAGCAAAACAUGAUCAGCACCAAGGCUCCAUGGGUGUUAGAAUCAUUACGGUGUAAUCUAGAUUAUUGACUCUAGUGCAAGUGGGAUACUGAAGGAAAUAUGCCCUAGAGGCAAUAAUAAAGUUAUUAUUUAUUUCCUUAUAAUCAUGAUAAAUGUUUAUUAUUCAUGCUAGAAUUGUAUUAACCGGAAACAUAAUACAUGUGUGAAUACAUAGACAAACAAAGUGUCACUAGUAUGCCUCUACUUGACUAGCUCAUUAAUCAAAGAUGGUUAUGUUUCCUAACCAUGAACAAUGAGUUGUUAUUUGAUUAACGAGGUCACAUCAUUAGUUGAAUGAUCUGAUUGACAUGACCCAUUCCAUUAGCUUAGCACCCGAUCGUUUAGUAUGUUGCUAUUGCUUUCUUCAUGACUUAUACAUGUUCCUAUAACUAUGAGAUUAUGCAACUCCCGUUUGCCGGAGGAACACUUUGGGUGCUACCAAACAUCACAACGUAACUGGGUGAUUAUAAAGGAGCAUUACAGGUGUCUCCAAAGGUAGAUGUUGGGUUGGCGUAUUUCGAGAUUAGGUUUUGUCACUCCGAUUGUCGGAGAGGUAUCUCUGGGCCCUCUCGGUAAUGCACAUCACUUAAGCCUUGCAAGCAUUGCAACUAAAUGAGUUAGUUGCGGGAUGAUGUAUUACAGAACGAGUAAAGAGACUUGCCAGUAACGAGAUUGAACUAGGUAUUGGAAUACCAACGAUCGAAUCUCGGGCAAGUAACAUACCGAUGACAAAGGGAAUAACGUAUGUUGUUAUGCGGUCUGACCAAUAAAGAUCUUCGUAGAAUAUGUAGGAGCCAAUAUGGGCAUCCAGGUCCCGCUAUUGGUUAUUGACCGAAGACGUGUCUCGGUCAUGUCUACAUUGUUCUCGAACCCGUAGGGUCCGCACGCUUAAGGUUACGAUGACAGUUAUAUUAUGAGUUUAUGCAUUUUGAUGUACCGAAGGUUGUUCGGAGUCCCGGAUGUGAUCACGGACAUGACGAGGAGUCUCGAAAUGGUCGAGACAUAAAGAUUGAUAUAUUGGAAGCCUAUGUUUGGAUAUCGGAAGUGUUUCGGGUGAAAUCGGAAUUUUACCGGAGUACCGGGAAGGUUACCGGAACCCCCCGGGAGCUAAAUGGGCCAUGAUGGGCCUUAGUGGAAAAGAGAAGAGGCAGCCCUACAUGGGCUGUGCGCCUCCCCCUUCCCCUAGUCCUAUUAGGACUAGGAGAGGUGGCCGGCCCCCUCUCUCUCUUUUCCCCCUCCGCGAAUCCUAUUCCAACUAGGAUUGGGGGGGGGGGGGAAUCCUACUCCCAGAGGGAGUAGGACUCUCCUGGCGCGCCACACCUUGGCCGGCUAGCCUCCCCCCUCUAGUCCUUUAUAUACUGAGGCAGAGGCACCCUAGAACACACAAGUUGAUCCACGUGAUCUAUUCCUUAGCCGUGUGCGGUGCCCCCUGCCACCAUAUUCCUCGAUAAUACUGUAGCGGAGUUUAGGCGAAGCCCUGCCGCUGUAGUACAUCAAGAUCGUCACCACGCCAUCGUGCUGACGGAACUCUUCCCCGACACUUUGCUGGAUCGGAGUCCGGGGAUCGUCAUCGAGCUGAACGUGUGCUCGAACUCGGAGGUGCCGUAGUUUCGGUGCUUGAUCGGUUGGAUCGUGAAGACGUACGACUACUUCCUCUACGUCGUGUCAACGCUUCCGCAGUCGGUCUGCGUGGGUACGUAGACAACACUCUCCCUUCUCGUUGCUAUGCAUCACAUGAUCUUGCGUGUGCGUAGGAAAUUUUUUGAAAUUACUACGAAACCCAACACCAACUCUUUCGAAUUGUCAUGUCUAAAUAUAUAAACAAUUUUAAAGCAUCCCAUGGUAAAUUCUGCAUCUAGACAUACCCCAAGAUAAACUAUAGUGAUUCGUCAAAACAUUGAUAAACCCUGGAUAUUUGUUGCACUACUCAUAAUGAAUCACUGAAAGCCUUAGUAUGUAUAGCACCUAUAGCAAGUAAAAGAUUCAAUCCGAAUAACAAUGCAUAUUCGGCUUUGAUUAAUCAUGCAUAAAAAUAUUCUAAUCGGCAUGAGGCUUUAAAAAUAGUACCAUAAAGAGAUAUAUAAACAACACCAACACUUUGGCCAUUGUUAUUAAUUGAACCAUCAAAACAUAAUCCAUAGUUCUAGAGAGACAAGGCUAAUAUCAAUAUUAUGCAUGUCAUUAAUCUGAUGUUCAGUAAUAAAAUCAGCUAUGAUUUGGCCUCUCAUAUAUCUCAAAGAUGCAUAAGCCAAAUCAUAUCCAAACAAAGUAUAAGCCCACUAGCCAAUUCUGCAACUAUGAAUUGGUCUAUGCAGCAUAUAUUCAAUGACAUCGGUCAUGAUGUCUCAACUCCAUUCAAUCAUAAUAUAGGCAUACAUAUAAAUUUCCAUAAACACGUACCUUGUCUCGCUCUCCAAUCGAACUAAGGACGAUGUUAGAAUACUACACCGGCCAUGCAUUGACAUACGCUUAGGACGAUAGAUAACUAUCGGCCAUUACCAUGUAAACUUCGUUCGAAGCACAUAUGGCUGAUGAUGUAUUCCAUCGCAUAUGCGUUAAUGGCAUAGUUGAAGAACAUGGAUAAUGUAUAGACCGAAGAUGCUGAACCUUUGGCUUGGUCCUUCAUAGUUUUCACUUUUUCCUUCUUCACCUUUACCGCACUUCUUGUAAUGGAAGCUUGCACAUAAUUCUUAUUUUGGGCACUUCCUUUGGGAACCCAUGCCAUGUUCCUUUCUUCAAGUUCUUGUGCAAUAAGUUUUUGUAAUUUCUUCUUUUGCCAAUAUGAUAAGCCGAGUGGGCACCCCGGCUACGAUUUUGUUUGAAGCAGUGGCAAUUCUUGUUUUACCUUGUGCACUCUCAACUUUUUUUCUUCAGAUUUGGCACUUUGACUCUCAAUAAUUGGUUGCUUCGUCUCAUUGCUUUUAGUAGCCAAUGUCAACACUUUAGGCCUCUUUUGGUUCAUAGGAUAGGAUUAUUGUAGGAAUAGGAAAUUUGUAGAAAAUGAGAUGACAUGUAUCCCAAAUCCUAUGAGUAGGAAUAAGAAAUGAGAUGUCAUUUGGUUCACACCAAAGGAAUUUUUCCAUUGAGUCUAGGCUCAUUUUUUAUUUUCCUAUAAAAUGUGGAGGAUAGGAACCAAUCCUAUAUAGGAAUAGGAAUCCAUCCCUAUGAACCAAAGGGCUCUUAAGAAAAAAAUCCUAUGAGAAUCCUAUCCUCUAUAAUUCCUAUGAAAUUCCUUCAAACCAAAGGAGGCCUUAAUUGGCUCUUUUUCAUUUGAGAUCAAAUCUGAAGUUGCACUCUUACGACCAUCUCUUUUAACACGGUAAACUUGCUUCAGCAUCUCUUUCUUCUUCCUUGAGUUCUAGACCAAUUCCUCAUGAUUGAAAUGGUCUUUAACAUGUGAUUGUUCAAACGUUGAUCCUCUCGAAUCUGCAUAAUGUUGGUGAGAUGUUCUAAAAUAAGAUGGAGAAUGUGCCACUGUAUCAUACCUAUCCCAUGAUGGAUAUGAUUCUAUACGAGCAUAGGGAGGCAUCCGCGGCAUUGACAUUGGCGGCCCAAAAUAAGGAUAUGAAUAUGUUGCAUUAAAAUUCUCACUUUGCCAAUACUGAUCCUCAUAUUUGCGCCUUGGGGGUGAUCUUGGUUUCUUUGCAUGAUUUGGACGAUAAGCAUUCUUCUCUUCACUCUUCUUUUUAUAUUUAUCCAAUAGUUCAGCAAAGGUGAUUUUUGAUCUCUUACACUUACGCUUAUUUCGGCCUUUGUUUUCUUUUGGUUUGCUUUCAUCGAUCAUUGGAUUUGCUUGCUGCCCCCCAGUCUUUGGCGUCUUAAUUGUAGCUUUAAUGGAAUUCUCACCCUCAAGUUUAUGUUCAUUGUGCUCUUCAACAAUUUCUUUACUUGAAAGCUUGAUCCCAUCACCUGUAGUUUUUACCUUCUCUUUAGAUGGAUCGGCUUGAAGUAACUGACGCAAAAACUUUUUGUCAUCAAGACCAAUCGAAAUAGACUGGUCAUCCUUUAGUGUUUCAACAAUUUUCAAUCGUCCUUUUUCAAUGGCCGAUUUAACUAUUUGACGAAACAUGUUGCAAUCCUCAAAAUUAUGCUUGAACGAAUCAUGCAACUUACAAUAUAUUCGUCCUUGGAUAGAUGGCUCGACAUGGUGAUCAAGAAUUCUAAUAAAAUUAUUUCUCAACAACAAAUCAAAGAUUUGAUCACACAUGUUUGAAUUGAAGGUAACUUUUUUAUUUUGUAGUCGAUCUUGCUAUGAGAACGGCUUUGGAGUUAAGCAAACGAAUGGUUCAAAUCUUGCAUCACCCCAUUUGGCUAUGCAUUGUGUUUUGCACUCUAUCUCCGAUGUCUUUGGGUAAGAUAUUAUACUAGCAUCAGUUUGCUCAGAAGAUUUUAACCUUGGUUUUAAAUUUCUGAAACGAAAAUAGUUAGAACAUACAUGUCUCAGUUGAGACCAAGUGUAAGCCAAGUAAGAAAUAAGCAAAGCUACCGAAUUAGAUAUGAGCUUUAGAUAAAGCAAUGGGGAAAGCCUUGGCUGCAAUAAUUUUUCGCUAUCAAUCUUUGUGAAUGGUGUGAUAUGUUAACCGAUAUGCUUUGUGACAAUCUGAUUGCUAACAAAUAAAUUACCCUUCUUCAUUGGUCUAUCAAUAUUUCUUAUGAAGAUUUUUCUAAUAUAUGCAUCAACAAUUAAGUCAUGACAAAAUCUGAAAACGGGUAAAUUAAUUGCUAGACAUACCUCUUCAAAUAUGUUGGGAGAGCAUGAUGGUGGUGUAACUUGAAGAAUAUCUUGCUCUGCCUUUGGAUGGCUCCCCAACACCUCUUCAUUGUCUUUUUCUUGAUUUCGUGCAUCAUUACACUGAAGAUUUUUGUUGGCCGAACUUUGUUCGGCUACUUGUUCUUGUCCUUGAAGUUCAUCAAUUUCUCUGGCACGAAACUCAUAGGGCAGGAAUUAGGUUCUAUUAAUUUUAGAAAAAUCAAGUAUGAUCGCUUUGCUAUGCUUGCCAUGCCCUUUCUCAAUAGAGAGAAGUGCAUAUUUCAACCUUGAACUUUUGCCCUAAUCUAAUUUACAACCCCGAACUUCAAUACCGUCUAAAUUACAACCCCCAACUCUCAAAACUGGCUAGGAUUCAACCCUCCCCUCUCUGUUGACCUGUUUUGACCUGGUUGACCGGUUUUGAUCAGUCAACAGGUCCAAUCAGCAUGCCACAUCAGCCAAAAAUGCAAAAUUUCCAAGGAAACAAUCGGUAAAAUCGAAGAAAAUCCAGGAAAAGAAAUAAGAAAUCCAAUUUCUGAAAAACAGGGAAAAUAAAAAAAGAUUUUCCAAAAAAAUUCCAGAAAAAACCCAAAACCUCAAAUUCCUGAUAAAAGUAUUUCCAGAAAAAACCCCAAAAAAAUCAUUUUUUCUAUUUUCCCUAGCUUUUUUCAUGAAUUUUUUUUCGAAAUUUUGCUUUUUCAUAUUUUUUCCUGAUCUUGUAGAUUUUUAUUUACUUUUUCUUGAAAUUUUGAAAAAAGAAUCUAACGUGGCAUGCUGAUUGGACCCGUUGACUAGUCAAAACUGGUCACCCCAGGUCAAAACCGGUCAACAGGGAGGGGAGGGUUGAAUCCUGACCGGUUUUGAGACUUGAGGGUUGUAAUUUAGACGGUAUUGAAGUUCGGGGUUGUAAAUUAGACUAGGGCAAGAGUUCGGGGUUGAAAUAUGCACUUCUCUCUUCUCAAUAAUGCUUGCCUCUUUGCAUUUGAUGGAUUCAGAAUAUAUACUUCUUGAUUCGGCUUUUUCAACCGAAGCACUUUCAUGUCCUGAGUCAUCUUUCUUUACAUUGAUUCUAUUAAUUGGCAAUGCUUCUUUUACUUGAGCCAAUUCUGUAUUUUUUUGUUUCUGGCAGCGAGCGGCAAAAUUGGCUUUAAUUUUUUUUCUCAACUUCAGCCCAGUUCGGAUACGAUUGCCCCCAAUGCUUUUAGAUUCUUUCGGCAAUGGCACAUGGCUGUUACCGAAACUUUGCAAUUAUGUAGGGGGUGUAUAAUAUGAUGUAGUACUAGGUGAAGGCACAUGCAUUGUUGUAGAACUAUAUUUUUGCUCGCCAAUUUUAUCAAUUGGCAAAGAUUCAUCUUCUUGCAUAACUCUAGCCUUUAUUGCAGCAUAAUUAGGAAACAACCCCUUCUCAUAUUGUUCAAGGCAAAGAGCACUAAUCCUCUUGUUUUGUGCCAAACUCUUUUUUAAUGCAGCCAUAACGGCUUCUGGAAGGGAUUGCUCCGCAAUACUUUCAGAUUCUUUGGGCAACGAUUCAUGAGUGUUGCCGAAGUUCAUGAACUGUGUAUAGUAUGCAUUAUACGCUGCAGUAUUUGAUGACGGCACAUGUGUUCCUGUAAAAUUUUCAAUUAUUUGGCCAUGACCAUGAAGAUGCGGGGCCGAAUUAUGAGCAUCUACAGUUGCAUACGAUGCUGAAAAAUUACUAACAUGAGGUGUAGCAUAUGAUGGUUGAGAGUAACUGGUCGAAUAACUAGUAGUAGCAUGGCCAAUUCUCCCAUCCAUCGGUAAGGUUGGAUUCACAUAUUGCAAAUUAGUUGCCGAUGAAUAAAAGGGUGAAACACUUUCUUGUAUGCUACCGGAAAUUUUAACAUGGGAUGUUUCAAAUUGAUUAACCAAACCCAUCAUGUUGUUCAUCGGCAUAACUAUUGCUGGGGUUGCCGAUGCAUGAGAAUUGGAGUACAUACGGUGUAUGUUACUAGUAUCAUAAGAAGUUGAGGCAUGUAAAUUACUUUGACUCGGCCUAUGCACGUAAUUAGAUGCAUUAUUGAAAAAACUAGGGCUGGCCGAUAAAGUAUACUCAUUGAACGAUUUAGUAACACCAUAUAAAUUAUUUGCAUCUACAAUAGGGAAUUGGGUAUUUAUGUUACUUUUGUAGAUUGCAAACCCUAGAUGACGAUCUCUUCAUAGCAAGAACAGGCCGGAGACUGUUCAAAGCUUCUUCCCCAGUGGAGUCGCCAAAAAGUGUGUCGACACACAAACACGUCACGUGUAUCCUCGAUGCCGGGUGUGAUGCACCACAGCUCACGUCGAAAGGAGACCCGACCGACAUCGCGAUACACAAGACAGUUGACGGGCGCUUUUGUAGACCUGAAGCCCCACUUACCCGGGAGGGACCCCGUCAGGGCUUGCGGCGGCUAUGGGCUGCUCCAGGUCGAUUCGCUCGCCCCUAGAGCCUCAUGGAUCCGCAGCCCUCCGGCAUGAAGAACUAGCGAAGAACAAGAAGAAAGAUACAAGGGGGAAAUAAAAAGUAGAUGAAUAUAAAAAAGUAAUAGAUGUGUUUGUUCGAUUGUGUGUUGUUUCAAUCGGCCGUCAUCCCUAACAUAUAUAAGAGGCGGCUGGACUUCCCGUACAAGCAAAUGAUCCAUCUAGGAUUUCCUUUCAAGAAAAUUAGAUCAAUUCACGUCCUACAGUUCUAGUUUUAGUCCAACUCGGAUUCAGCCCGAAUCUGUCCCAUAUUUCUGUCCCGCUUCUUGCGCGGGCAGUAGAAAUCGCAUACUAAGUCGGAUGGAGUCGAGUUCAACAUAAAAAUUAUCCGCCUCGAUGAUCUGCAUAAGACAACGUGUGCCACUUCUUCUUUUACGACCAUCUUUAUGACUUUCAGGACCUAUCUUUAAAUACGGGUCGGAUUCAAUUAUGCAGUUUUCUGAACUGUCCGAGUCUUAUAACAAUUAUGCAGACUAUAUACUAUCUUCGAUGAUGAUGACUCCAAAAGAAAAGUUGACCGUUUAUAUAAUACACACAACUUCCGUGUAGAACACAUUUCCAUACGAGGCCAUCUGAAUAAACAUUCGAGCCCAUCUCCAACUUUUGGUCGGAUUGACUUUGACAGUCUCCACCCCGACAAGCUUUCCACCCCGGCAAGCUUUCCACACUGGCAAGGUUUCUACCCUGGCAAGCUUUCACCCCGGCAAGGUUUUCACCCCGGCAAGGUUUCUACCCCGACAAGCUUUCACCCCGGCAAGGUUUCCACCCUGGCAAGGUUUCUACCUCGGCAAGCUUUCACACCGGCAAGCUUCCACGCCGGCAAGAUCUCCACCCCGGCAAGCUUUCCACGCCGGCAAGGUCUCCAUCCCGGCAAGCUUCAUUCAGCCGGCAAAGGCCGAAUAACUCACGCGACCCAUCAGACACCACCUAGGUGGGUGUCUGGUCCCUCGCGUCACUUUUUCACUCAGGACUGGUCCAUGAAGUUUUGCCUCUAACUUUUGCGUAUGAACUCGAAUUGGGACAAUUUUUAUAUUGAAAUCAAUUGGUUCGGCGAGACGAAGACAAUUCAUGUAGAUCAUUUUUUCAUAUGAGGUCGCCUUGGGGGCUUAAUCGACCAAACUGUACUCUGAAUAUAAGAUCUUGGUACUUUGAGCAUAGUUUCGGCCUUUGAGAUGAAAUCGGACGACGAUGACCCAAACUUCAAAGAUGUUCAUAUCAACAAUACGGAACUCCUUCAUGUAGAUCACUUCUCCAUUUAAGGUCAUCUUAAAUAAGUUCUUGACCAUGCCAAAAUCGGGUGUCAACAAUAAUGCCCCUCUAAAAAAUGGUAUGCGUGAUUAUAAUUUUAAUUCAAUUACAUAUGAUCGAUACAUCAUUAUAUCUACUAUUAAAGAGGAGUAUGUAGGUUGUCUCGUCCGCUUCCCUUUCUUCCAAUCAUUUCAUUCGUUUCAUCUCCACCUUCCCACCUCGCAUGCACCGUUCAUUUUUUUUUCUAUUCCGGGUUGAUCCGUCCUCACAAGCUCCUCAUGUCCCUACCUCUCUCCGUUAUGUCUUGGACUCCCCUCGCACGGAGGGUUCCUCUAUUGUGGAGGUUGCGCCGCCACUGCAAAAUUCGUCCUCCCAUGCUCAACAUACAAUCCCUUUCAUGGUGGUGGUGGAUCGACUCUCACGGCAUUACAUUACACAGGUGUCCAGCGCCUGCAAGCGCUCAAAUACGAGCCUCCUCCUUUAUCCUAGCAGUGAGCAUGGCCACCGUGGUAGCGACAUUCGGAAUAUUCAUUUUCGCGAUAAGUAUUUUAGAACGGAGGGAGUAGCAGAGAUGACAUAUAAUGGCACCGAUAGAGAAUUCGUGCACGCGCAAGGAAUUUGGUGGGUGAAACGGACGUGCACCCCAGCUCGAGGCACCAGCGGAGACCACGUACCGAACCGCAAAGCCAAACCAAUACCAGUCAGUCGGUCACGCCGCUUAUCCAGCGGCACGUCCCACAGAAAAUCAUGCCCAGUUGCGGAGUUGCCCACAGUACACACAUCCGUCGCUCUCCCACCAAACAUCAACCGUGGAGGUAGCAAAAGAAGGCACGAGAGAAGAAAAGAAGGCACGAGAAAAUAGCCAUCUACACACCGGGCCAGAGGAAGAUACAAUCUGAAUCUAUGCACGCCGUGCUAGGAUCUGAAUAUACACUUUACAGUUUACACAGUGUGUAUGCGAUCUGGAUGGCUGAAUCAAAACCACAGUACCAGCACUAGCGAGAGGGAAGUAUAGGGAAGUGGUUUGGCAAUGCUUGACAUGUCCGGCUGCUUUUAGUCAACCAGGCCACCGAGGUUUCCAGGGGCCCUUGAAACGAAAUCAGCAGCAGCAGCCGGUAUCUCCCGGCGGUUGGUGAGCCCUCCGAAAAAACAGAGUAAUCAGACACCACCUGAUUUUCUUCUGUCUGAAAUGAAAUGAACAUCACAACCCUUUGCAUCCUCUCUCGUGUCAUCACUCGCUCUGUUCUUAAAUAUAAGUCUUUUUAGACAUUUCAAUACAAAUUGUUGAAUUAUUUGGGUGGGCCUAACCCAUCUAAUAAUUUUUAAAAAAAUCUUUAAAGACGCAUGUGGGUUAAAUGACACUAGGUGUGGUGGGGAAUUUAGUCCAACCCCACUAUUAGAGAAUUGGACCUUUUUAUAAGAGAUUCUCUUCCACAUUUUAUUAGAGUUUGAGAAUAUAAAAGGCCCUCGCGCACUUCUCCUUCGCCGCCCGCCCCGCCCCGCCGAAGCGGCACGGAACGAGCCGAGCUCAUAUCUAUGCAUUUAUUUUUACCGGUCAGGAACGAAGAGUCAUUGGCAGGUGGACCACGAUCUCAGAUGUCGCAGGAACGAGCCGAGUUCACAUCUAUGCGCUUAUUUUUGCCGGUCAGGAACGGAGAGUCAUUGAUAGGUAAACCACGAUAUGAGACGUCGGAUCGUGGGCUGUUACCGACUCGGAGCCCACGUCUCUCCACGUGGCUGCACAUAUAUAUGUGGAGCGUCUGCCAACCCUAGCCGUCAGGCGAAACAGAUCGCAUCUCUGCCUCCAUGCCCACGCCGUUCCAUUACUGUUGCUGCCGCCGGCCACUCCACCUUGUUCACCGCGUACACGGUUGACGGAAGAGCAGGUCUCCGAAACCCGCCUCCUCGGAUCCUGUAUGAGAGACAGACAAUUAGGUUUUUGGGAAGCAACUACGCGACUGCUCGCCUCUGUUCGUCUACUUCCUCUACGUUCGCGUCGCCUUCGUCAUCACCAUGUCCAUGGACGCCGAACAUGCCGCCGCCGAGAAACCCGAAGCCGACAGAAGGCCGCCAAGGACGCUGCUGCUGCGGCGGCGGCUUCUACCUGGCCUACUGGAGGGUAUAACUUGUUUAUCCCGCUCCUGUUGAUUUCUGUUUUAGCCAUUCUAGUGUUAUACAUAGAUGUGUCUGCAAUUAGCAUAGUACUAUGCGUUUGCAUGAUUGAAUAACAAUAUGUGUUUGCUUCUGUCAAUGCUAUGCUAGUGAUCUAUUUUUGGAUUAAAUUAAUAAAAAAAUUGCCUAUUUACUCAACACAAACUACGUAACGAUGUAUAUAGACAUAUUUUAGAGUGUAUAUUCACCCAUUUUACUCGUAUGUAGUGCAUAUUCAAAUCUCUAAAUUGACUCGUACUCCCUCCGUUCCUAAAUAUUUGCCUUUUUAGAGAUUUUAAAUGAACUAUCAUAUACAGAUGUAUAUAGACAUAUUUUAGAGUGUAGAUUCACUCAUUUUCGCUUCGUAUAUACUCCCUCCGUCCGCGAAUAAGUGUACUUCUAACUUUUGUCCUAAGUCAAAGUUUUAAAUUUUUGAUUAACUUUAUAGGAAAAAGUAACAACAUUUAUGGCAUUAAAUUAGUAUCACUAGAUCCGUUUCGAAAUGUACUUUCAUAAUAUAUACCAAUUUGAUGUCAUAUAUGUCAUUAUUUUUUUCUAUAAAGUUGGUCAAAAUUUGAAAAUUUUGACUUAGGACAAAAGAUAGAUGUACACUUAUUCAGAGACGGAGGGAGUAGUCACUUGUUAAAAUCUCAAGAAAGACAAAUAUUUAGGAACGGAGAGAGUAUUUAAGAAUGGAGGUAGUAGGUUGGUUGAACUGUGGCAAAUGUUCUGCUUUGAAGGUUAGCACAAAUGAGCAUCAGCAUGAUGACAAUCCCAUGGAUGCCACUAGCCCACUACUACUGAUCCACUACACCAGUAGCAGUACAAUUUAUAAUUCAGAAGAACUGAAGAAGUACCUCAAGAAGUUCAGUCUGCCUGCCCCCUGCGUCUCCGACCCCACUCACCUACCACCAACCACCCCAUCGCCUCCUUCCCUUCCACCACCGUAUAAAGUCGCUGAGCGCCACCAGCACCACCAGCUCCACCACCGUCUCCACCAACCCCAGAGCAGAGCAGAGCAGAAGCAGAGUCGCGGCAGCCACAAUGGACGUGGCGUCGCUGCUCCCGUUCGCCAUCGCGCUGGUGGCGAUCCCGAUCUCGCUGGCGCUGCUGGACCGGCUGCGGCUGGGGCGGCUGCCGCCGGGCCCGCGCCCGUGGCCGGUGGUGGGCAACCUGCGGCAGAUCAAGCCGGUGCGGUGCCGCUGCUUCCAGGAGUGGGCGGCGCGGUACGGGCCCAUCAUCUCCGUCUGGUUCGGCUCCUCGCUCACCGUCGUCGUCUCCACCUCCGAGCUGGCCAAGGAGGUGCUCAAGGAGCACGACCAGCAGCUCGCCGACCGGCCCCGCAACCGCUCCACCCAGCGCUUCAGCCGCAACGGCCAGGACCUCAUCUGGGCCGACUACGGCCCGCACUACAUCAAGGUGCGCAAGCUCUGCAACCUCGAGCUCUUCACCCAGAAGCGCCUCGAGGCGCUGCGCCCCAUCCGCGAGGACGAGGUCACCGCCAUGGUCGAGUCCGUCCACCGCGCCGCCGCCGGCCCCGGUAAGCUGCCAUCCCAGAUCGCACGCCCCUCUUCCUUUUCUUUUCCUUUUUUCCCUUUUUUUCCUCCACCGCACAUUUCGUAGACAGACAGGUGUGCGUGCGUGCCAUUUCGGAGAAAGCGGGGGUGGUUGCUGCAAAACAAAGAGAGGGAGGUAUCUUCUGUCUGAAGAAUCGUUAGGCGAGUGGAGGUGGUGUCCUCGUGUUUGGUGGGUUUGGUCGACCAAUUGCUCUGCUCUGUCGUGUUGACUAGGCAAAACGGUGCCGAACAUGAGUCUUGCAACCAAUCUUGAUUGUCUUCAGCACCAAAUUCGCAAUGGAUCGCAGGAACAGUGUCGUACUUUGCUAGAGUGCCGAUUUGGUGGUAUGGUAAACAGGGUUGAUCUGUUGAAAUGCCUCCAUGGGGUGCAUUCCUGUUGAGUGGCCACAUGUCAAGCGCGUUGCUAGAGUACUGAAUCGUUAAGAUAUGGAAUAAAUAAACGUAAAAUGUAGUGACACCAAUCAAUCAUCAUCGGUCAGCUCUAGUGUGUUGAGGAGCCUUGAGUUUAUUUUAUUUUUCCGCAGACUGGAUCUCAACACGAUCAUGGUGGUUGCACGUUAGUAUACAAGUAGGCUGCCCUUCACAUGAGGCUUAGUACACAUGGGGUUAGUAAUAGUAAUCUUGAUUCUACAUGCCGUUUAAGCUUCAGGCUAAGGCAGUUUGCUGCUUUCUGCAUUACUGUAAGUUCAGAUAAUUCGAUGCCACAAAUAGACCAUGACGCUACUCGAUCCCUUUAUCAGUAGAACAAUUUGUCUUAUUGUGUACUAGCGCCGAGCUGAGGAUCACCUGAAAAACUGUAUGACAUUUUGGCCUUCCAGUGAGUCAGUGUUAUGAUAAGCACACUCCUUGUGGUAAUGAGCCGUUUUUAAUGACACUAUGCUAUUUAAGGCUCAUGGCAUAAUACUUGUUUGGCCAAGCCGGAAAUCUUGACUUGACUAUCAUGGCCACACAAAUCAUAUAUAGAAUUAUAGAGUGCUAUUUUUAUCUUAUCUUGAAAUUUCACCCAUUCAACGGUUGUAGCUCUGUAUUGGCACAGAACUGAUGUAGUUUUGGUGUACAAUUUGGGAUAAAUUUAUAUGUUGUGAAUUUAGGAGCAGCUUACCUUGUACUGUUUGGCAACAAUACCCAUGUUUUAUCUGCCCAAAAAUCUUAUCUUGAUGUCCGACAGACGGAGCUUUUAUUAAUAGCAAUGGACAUAUACUGGUAUACGUACUAGAACGGAUCAGAUUGAUGAUAGCUUCAGGUGUGAGUUUGAUUGCAAUCAGUAUAGGCUUUAGUCCUUAGGCAGUGUUACUAUAGCAUUUGGGUUAUUGGUAUUUGAUUGAGAGCAGUUAGUCCUGACCGUUAUUCAUUAAGUUAACUGGUAUCACAAGUCCAAAAACUGGGAGUCCAAGUAUGUGAAAUGAUUUAUCAUGGUACUAGCACGACGACAUGUUAAGGAAUCUUUUUUCAGUACGCAAAGUGGAAUGCUUGGUGUGCAUUAGACAUAAAGAAGUGGCAACACAUCCUUCCUAUUACAUCUCACUGGUGGUCUCUGGUUCGUGGUCAGUGGCACACAUACAAAUUACAACUUACUUUCACUUAUUGUACUGUGCAUUAUGCUCCAAAUGCAUGGUGUCUCAUCAGGAAUAUGCUAGACUAAUUAAACGUCAUUUGAUGCCUCCCUCUGCCUCAACCCUGUUAUUUCAACCUUUUUAGGAAUAUUUCAAAAAAAAUUUCGCCCUUCUCUUUCUUCCAAAUACAUCUGGCAUCGCGUUAAUUUCAUAUUCAAUGUGUGUUUCAGUAUUAAUGUACUCCCUCCGUUCCUAAAUAUUUGUCUUUCUAGAUAUUUCAACAUUUUGCUCCGUAUGUAGUCACUUGUUGAAAUCUCUAGAAAGACAAAUAUUUAGGAACGGAGGGAGUAGGUAUAUAAGCAUAGCCUUCUCUCUGAUAACAUGUUAGUGUACUCUAGGAAUAUAAGCUAGCAGAUAUACAGAAGAAGAAGAAAAAUACAGGUUUAGCUUUAUUUUCUUGGGACAUUCUUUGUCAGUGAACGCAAACAUUUGUGCCUGGUGUGUGGGUUUGCUUGUGUUCAACUGGAUAUCCACAUGGAUCCUUUGCGCUAAUGUUUAGGUUUUUGCGGUUGCUGUGGAAAACACUAAUUGGUUUAUGCCCCUUACUUUUACGUUAUGUUAGGUUUUUGGUAUAAUUUAGAAGAGCAUUUAUUGUUCUAUUGUUUGCUCUUGCUGUUAAUUCAUGAGCCGGCCUCACAAAACGGAAAUAUGGCAUAUCCCACAUGACAUACACAAUGUAACGGUUUAUAUUACCUAAUCACUUUAAACCCUAAACUAGCUUGGGCUCUUUCCCAACAGUAUUGACUAUUGAGUUUUAAAUUAACUAUUAAUAUAUUUUUUCAGGUAAUGAAGGAAAGCCAUUGGUAGUGAGGAAUCACCUUGCUAUGGUGUCCUUCAACAAUAUAACAAGGCUAGCUUUUGGGAAGCGGUUCAUGAAUGCAGAUGGUGACAUUGACGAAGAAGGGCAGGAAUUCAAGCUUAUUGUCAACAAUGGGAUCAAAAUUGGUGCAUCUCUUUCUGUUGCUGAAUACAUUUGGUACUUGAGAUGGCUGUGUCCACUUAAUGAGGAGCUUUACAAUACCCACAAUGAGAGAAGGGAUCGUCUGACCAAGAAGAUCAUUGAAGAGCAUGCACAGGCCCUCAGGGAGAGUGGUGCCAAACAGCACUUUGUGGAUGCUCUGUUCACUCUCAGAGAGAAGUAUGACCUUAGUGAUGACACAGUUUUCGGACUUCUAUGGGUAUGUAGGAUGCCCCUUUAUAACUACGUAAUUUAUCUUCUUAUAUUCCAUUCUCCUGUUUGUUUCAAAUGAGAUCCCCUGCUAAUUUUUAAUGUCGAAUGGGAUAGCAAUGGAUAGUAAUGUCUAAUUUAUCUUCGUAGUUCUUCCAUUCUUCGCACAAAUGCUACAUAAUAGCUUUCAUUAAAUUGAUUUAUUUAUGGAUCAAGAGAAAUCUCAUUAAGUUUAGUUAGAUUCAGUAGGUAAAUUUAGGUGAGACGCCACUAUCUCAAGGUUGUUGUAAGAUGCUGGGAUUGGAAAAUGUAUGUUUACUUUCGAGUUGGAAAUUAGGUAGUGCUUUAUCGUUACAAUCAUUCAACUACCAAAAAUGCUUUGCAAGAGUCUGCAGGCUACUCAGCUACUCCCUCCGUAUCAAAAUAUAAGACGUUUUUUGACACUAUCAGUGUCAAAAAACAUAUAUUUUGAUACGGAGGGAGUAUUAUUAAAAAAAAUCAUUGGAUGCCUCUUCAUAUUUCUAUCUUGCACAUGCCAAACUUAAUAAACUUGUUCAUACCGGUAAAUCAAUACCUUAGAAGUACACAAUAUAUGCUAUUUACUGAACUUCAAGCCUGGUAAUCUCAUUUGGCUUUUUAUACGUUCUUAGCUCUUACCAAGUACCAUCCCCUUCUUAUGUUCAGGACAUGAUCACCGCCGGAAUGGACACGACAGUCAUAUCAGUCGAAUGGGCCAUGGCAGAGCUGGUCCGGAACCCCAGGGUGCAGAAGAAGCUGCAAGAGGAGCUGGACAGCGUGGUCGGCCGCGACCGCGUCAUGUCCGAGACCGACUUCCAGAACCUGCCCUACCUGAUGGCCGUCGUGAAGGAGUCCCUCCGCCUGCACCCGCCGACGCCGCUCAUGCUGCCCCACAAGGCCAGCGCGAGCGUCAAGGUCGGCGGCUACAGCAUCCCCAAGGGCGCCAACGUGAUGGUGAACGUGUGGGCGGUGGCCCGGGACCCCAAGGUGUGGAGCAGCCCGCUGGAGUUCCGGCCGGAGCGGUUCCUGGAGGAGAGCAUCGACAUCAAGGGCAGUGACUUCAGGGUGCUGCCCUUCGGCGCCGGCCGGAGGGUGUGCCCCGGCGCGCAGCUCGGGAUCAACCUCGUCGCCUCCAUGAUCGGCCACAUGCUGCACCACUUCGAGUGGUCUCUGCCGGAGGGCGCCAGGCCGGAGGACAUCAGCAUGAUGGAGUCCCCCGGGCUCGUCACCUUCAUGGGCACGCCGCUGCAGGCCGUCGCCACGCCGCGCCUGGAGAAUGAGGAGCUCUACAAGAGGGUCCCGGUCGAGAUCUGAGCGGCCUGUGCUGCUUUGCUUGGGGUGUUGCGCUGCUUUCAGCUAGGUGCUGGAUGGAGCUCGUGUUGUUGUAAAUCGUGAGGUGUUUGACUGCCUUUUGAAUGAAUCUCAUAAAGCGACGAGGGCAGAUCGCAGAUCAUUUCUCCCUUUAUUAGGUGUUCCUUCGGAUAUAAUAGUUUUGUUUUUAUGUUAAUAACAGUUUAACACAGCAAAUCAUUCUAGACAAUGUAUUUCUCCACAUAAUAUAUCUCUUCUGGACUGAAAUUCGGCACUGAUUGCACAUUUUAGGCCCUGCUAAGAAACUUUGGAAACCUGAGGUUUGUUUUGUUGUUCAUGGGCCCAUUCCAUUUCAAUUUCGUUUUCUUCUCUCACGGUAAUGUUUAUCGUUGUCCCCCAAGGAUGUGUUUUGUUGGGAAUCAAGUGUAAUGAAUGCUGUGUUCAGAUGUCUGUAUUGAGGUCCCGAAUUGGAUUUGGAUUUGGAUUUUCCCAAACCCCCUCCCACCGCGGCGCCAGGCACAUCUCCUCGCUGCAGGAUUCGAACCUAGGUCCUUCACAAUAAGCACAGCCGCAAUAACCAGCUAGGCAACCGGGCCUCUAGUGUAAAGUAAGUAUUUUUAUACUUGAAAUACAACACUGGAAAAGCCCAACAUUUUCUGGUUGUCUUUUUCAUUUCUUUUUUGUUUCUUAAAUGCGUGAAGUUCUUAUAAUUCGUGAUUUUUAAAUCGAAAAUGAUGACAAAAUUUCAAAUUCUUGAUUUUUUUUUCAAAUCAGUGAACUUUCUUUCCCCAAAAUUGAUCAGUUUUCUUCACAAAUUCAUGAACUAUUUCGCAAGUUGGCAAUUUGUUUUUGAAAAUUGUUGGUCUUUUUUAUAAAUUGAUGAACUUUGUUUCUAAAUCAAUGGAUUUUUUAAAUUUUGUUAAUUUUUUUCCAAAUCAAUGAACUUAAUUUGAAUUAUUGAUGAACUUUUUUCAAAAUCAAUAAAAGAAAAGAAAAACAAAAUAAUAUAGAAACCCAUGUAAAAACUGAAGAAAAAACCAGCCUAGUUGAAAAGGAAAACCAGAGUCUUUCUUUUUAGCGUUAUAUUUGACGCACUACAAAAGAUGAAAAAAGGAAACUUAGACCAUGAUCAACGGAGGUAUUCGAGUAGGCGAGAUGGCUCCGUCUAAGAGCACGUCGUUUCCCGACAUGCUUGAAAUGGCCCCAAUUUUUUUCAUGCCUUGUAUGACCAAUUCAAGGCACCAUGCCAAGUUGUUUUGGUUUUCGACAAAUUUUACAUUUUUCGUAGUUUUCUCGGUAAAAAAAUGCUCGAUAAUGGGAGGUCAUGUCGCAACUUGCAUACGGUGUUAGAAAUCGUACAAACCUGGCAUGGAUGACUACCAUGGUCAUGCCCACCUGCUUGAAAAGGUUGGGAUCAUUUUAAGAAUGUCCAAAAGUAACCCAUGUUUAAUGAAGGGGUGUUCAGGUUGGCUAGAAGGCUCUACCUGAGGGUGCGUUGUUUCUCGAUAUUCUUCUAAAGGCCUAAUUUUUCCACCUACUUCUAUGAUCAAAUCAAGGCACCAUGUCAAGCUGUUUAAGUUUUCUACAAUUCUUUCAAUUUCUAGAGUUUUCUUGGUGAAAGCAAGCUGAUAAAAUGACCGGACGUGACAGAACAUGCAUAUGUUGUGGGAAAUUCAUUUAAACCUGGCAUGGAUGCCUACCAUGAACAUGCAUAGGUUGAUUUCAUGCAUGUUCAAAAAUAGAUCAUGUUCAACAAAGGGUGUUCGGGUAGGCGAGAAGGGUCCAUUUCUUCAUCUUUUUUGGUGAGAAAAUUGGGCCAUUUCAAAUAUGUUGAAAAAUAACAUGCUCUCAGAUGAACCGUUCUGACCUUACCGAAUAAUCUCCAUUGAACAUGGUGUUUUUUGGACAUCCUUGAAAUGACCCCAACUAAUAAAUACAAAGGGAUAAAAUUGAAAACAGUAAGUGUUUUUUAAAACAUUUAAUAAAUAUUUUAUAUUUUUAUUAAAUCACUAGUUUAAAAGGUUAGUUACAACUUGUAUUUUGGUAUUCAAAAAAGAGAAAAAUGAGUUAACAAAAUAAGAAAUCAAAUGAAAAAACAGAAAAUAAAAUAAAACGCUUAGGCCUUGGCCCAACUAGGCGACGACAUUGCUCUCGUCGGGCACGUGUUGGGCCGGUCCAAGAGCUCCAUGGAUUUGAAUAUUUUCACAAAAAAUCGAAAUAAAGUUCACUAUGAAAUUUGCAAAAAAGUUUUCUCGGUCUUGGGAACCUCGGGUUCCCAGCCAUUUUUUCCUGUUUUGGGACCUUCUCGGAGGUCGUGAACCAUGUUUUUCUUUUUCUUUUUGUCUUCUCUUGUGUUUAUUUGUUUGUCUUCUUAGACUUUUCGUUUAUUAUGUUUAUUUUUUAUAUUUCUCAUAUUUUUUUUUUCAGAAUUCAAAUUUUGUUCAUAUUUUUCUUUCUUUUCUAGAAUUCCAUUUUUUUUUACUUUUUUCAAAAAAUGUUCGUGUUCGAAUUUUUUUAUUUUUUUAAAAAACUGUUCGUAUUUUGACAUUCUGAGCAUGUUUGAAAGGCAUGAACAUUUGUUUUGAAAUUUAUGUACAAUUUUUAAAAAUACAAAUAUUAGUAUUUUAUGAACAAAACAGGAAAACUAGAAACCCUAAAGAAAACCGUGCAAAAAAAAAGAGACAUAAACUAAAGAGUGGAGGUGCUGUGUUUUUUUAUUGGGCACAAGAAGUGGAAAACAAGCCAAGACAGCAAAUUUGAUGUGCUGUCCCGGAUGGUUUGUGCGGCUACACGUAGCGCGUGGGGGCUGUGGUUCGAAUCCAGCCGAUGGCAUCUAUUUUUUGACAAUUAAAACUAAAAAAACGUAAAUGGGCUGAGCCUGUGGUUCGAAUCCAGCCGACGGCAUCUAUUUUUUGACAAUUAAAACUAAAAAAACGUAAAUGGGCUGAGCCCAUCAGGGAUGGCUGUUCGUCGGGUAUUAUAAGAACCUGCAGCGUAUAUACGUUCUAUGUGAGCAGUUUUAAGAUGGUCCCUCUUACCCCCGCUUUUCACAUGAGAGGUAAGAGUAUAAAAUAGAUCUGAGCCAUUGAUCUCAUUAAUUAAUGGCCUGAUUAACUCUUACCUUCUUACCUCACAUGUAAAAAGAGGAGGUAAGAGGGACCAUGCUAAAAUUUGCCGUUCUAUGUAGGAAAGUGAAUACAAUUUGUGAAAAAUCCAUACUACCCUUUAUACGUUUUAUGAGNNNNNNNNNNGUACCGAAGCACUUCUCAUAUAUUAAUAUCAAGCAGAUAGCAAUCACACUCAGCCUCUGCACUAACAAGAUGUCUAAAAACAUCUAGGAUGCACAAUGUGGAUCUAAUAUGGGUCUUACAACAUAUAAUACAUAGUUUCAAAGGUGUUACACCAUUGUGUUGUCGAUGGCAUCUAUUUUUUGACAAUUAAAACUAAAAAAACGUAAAUGGGCUGAGCCUGUGGUUCGAAUCCAGCCGACGGCAUCUAUUUUUUGACAAUUAAAACUAAAAAAACGUAAAUGGGCUGAGCCCAUCAGGGAUGGCUGUUCGUCGGGUAUUAUAAGAACCUGCAGCGUAUAUACGUUCUAUGUGAGCAGUUUUAAGAUGGUCCCUCUUACCCCCGCUUUUCACAUGAGAGGUAAGAGUAUAAAAUAGAUCUGAGCCAUUGAUCUCAUUAAUUAAUGGCCUGAUUAACUCUUACCUUCUUACCUCACAUGUAAAAAGAGGAGGUAAGAGGGACCAUGCUAAAAUUUGCCGUUCUAUGUAGGAAAGUGAAUACAAUUUGUGAAAAAUCCAUACUACCCUUUAUACGUUUUAUGAGGGGGGGGGGGAGGGGGGGUGUACCGAAGCACUUCUCAUAUAUUAAUAUCAAGUAGAUAGCAAUCACACUCAGCCUCUGCACUAACAAGAUGUCUAAAAACAUCUAGGAUGCACAAUGUGGAUCUAAUAUGGGUCUUACAACAUAUAAUACAUAGUUUCAAAGGUGUUACACCAUUGUGUUGUCGAAUGCGUGACACAAAGAUGAAAGAUCAGAAGCGAAUCACUUGCACCUACAAUUUUUUGGCACGCAUGCAACGUACCAGGCACAAACAAAGGACUACGACACAAGCACCAGGCAACUCAACACGCAUGUACAAUGCACAAAAUACAGAAACUUGCAUUGUCUUGGCUACUAUCUAAUACCAAGGCGAGUCAGGGACUGCGGUGAUGACGCUCUUGACCUGCAUGUACUUGUCGAUGGCCAUCAUCCCCUGGUCCCGGCCGAACCCGCUCAUCUUGUACCCGCCGAAGGGCGCCUCGGGGUCGAAGGCGAAGUAGCAGUUCACCCACACGGUCCCCGCGCGAACCGACCUCGACACCCGGUUGGCGAUGUCCAGGUUCUUGGUGAUUAUCCCGGCGGCCAGCCCGUACUUGGUGCAGUUGGCCUUCUCUAUCGCCUCAUCGACCGUCCUGCAGAGUGCAGACACAACCGGGCAAAAGGGCACUUGGUCAGACAGACACUAGAAGGACAUGAUUCAAGAACCAGUUUAGUUUCCGUCAGGUGACAUUGUGAAAGCUUUGGCGUACUUGAACUUCAUGAGGGACAUCACAGGGCCGAAGAUCUCGUCUUGGGCGAUCUUCAUGUCCUCCUGUGGAAGCCAUGUACGUGAGCAUGUGAUAGUGUCAAACCGUCAAUCCGUGUAAAUGCAUGUGAUCGAUGUACAAUUGUUUUUCCCUUGUGUGAGUAAUAUGAUGUGCACACUUUCUUUCUUGUGCAUCUGUCUAGAAGUUAAAAUUACCUUGACAUCUGCAAAUAUGGUAGGCUCAAUGUAGUAUCCUUUGUCGCCGAAAGGUUUACCGCCGGUGAGCAGAGUCGCCCCCUCGCUCUUGCCAUGCUCAAUGUACCUCAGGACCCUCUCAAAUUGCACCUUAUCAACCUAGAUUCAAGCAAAGCAAUGGUUGAAUUAAUCAUAUGUGAACCUAGGAGUAGUUUUUUGGCGCGUUUUCCACGAAUUUGAGCAUGGCUAAUCAAGAAUGAAGGCAUAAAUGUUACCUGGGGACCCAUGUUGGUGGCGACAUCGAACGGGUCUCCGACUUUCCAGUUCUGGGCGGCCACCACGGCCUUCUUCACGAACUCGUCGUAGAUCCCUUCCUGAACAUAAACACGAGACCCCGCGACGCAAACCUCUCCCUAGAAGUUCAGAUUCAGAUAGCAGUAUAUAUUAUAUGGUCAGUGUCUGCCUUUUGCUCUGUGGAAUUGUUUACUCUUGGUAAUUCUAUCGGUCUGUGAAGAGAAUGACAUCUAUUGGAGUACCUUGUUGAAGAAGAUGGCAAGCCUCGAGAGCUCGACCGCCAUGUCAACGUCGGCGUCGUCGAAGAUUAUCAGAGGCGACUUGCCGCCGAGCUCAAGCGACACCGUCUUCAGGUUGCUCCGUGCAGAUGCCUCCAUGAUGAGGCGGCCCACUUCACCAGAGCCAGUGAAGGCAACCUGAUCGAUGUGGUGGUAGAAUUAUCUUUCAUUAGGAUAUUGUAAAGUGUAAACAGAGCAGAAAUGCAUGGCACGGAGCAAGUAAUGAUCAUUUGUGCACUGCUCACGCUGUCAACGUCCAUGUGGGAGGCGAUGGCGGCGCCGGCCGUCGGGCCGAAGCCAGGGACGACGUUGAUCACUCCGCCCGGAAUGCCAGCCUGAAACAUGCAUGAUCAUUGGGCAGGUUGAGUUUUGCUAGUUCACAUCGACAGUGUUUGGAAUGGAAGGGCGUUAGCUUGCAGAGUCGAGACGAGAUCCAUUAAUUACCAGCUUUGCAAGGUGCGCAUAGUAGAGGGCGGAGAGGGGCGUCUGCUCGGCGGGCUUGACGACGACGGUGCAUCCGGCCGCGAGCGCCGGGCUGAUCUUGAGGAAGAACAUGAGGCUGGGGAAGUUCCAGGGGAUGAUGAUGCCGACGACCCCGAUGGGCUCCUUGAGGGUGUACCCCUGGUACUUGCCGGACACGCGCAGCGACUCGCCGUGGAUCUUGUCGGCGGCGCCGGCGUAGUAGCGCAGCAUGUGCACCGCCGCAGGGAUGUCGAUGAUCUUGCCCAGCAGCAGCAGCUUGCCGGCGUCGGCGCCGUCCAGCGCCGCCAGCUCCUCGGUGUGUUGCUCCAUCAGGUCGGCCAGCUUGUGCAUGGCCCUGCCCCUCUCCUGCAUGCAUGGAUGGACGCCGGCGACCAGUGAGUUGCCAGGCAAUUUGUCGGAUGAGCUACAACGACAGGGCCGGAUUACGUACGUAGCCUGACAUGCGGGGCCACUUGCCGUGCUCGAAGGCCUCCCUGGCGGCGCCGACGGCGAGGUCCACGUCGGCCUUGUCCGCCUCUGCGACGUGGGCCAGCACGUCGCCUGUCCGUGGGUCCCUCGUCUCGAACGUCUUGCCUGAAAAACGUCGAAAUCCAGCAGCAAAUCACGUCGGUAUUUCUCCCUCGUUUGUGGCCACCCGCCGCCAGCGUCGACCGGUAGCCCUCUGUCGACCGGUAGGCGGUAGCAGUGGCAGUAGCAUGCAUAAUAUUCUGUUCUAGCCAUGAAUUAUCUACUACUCCCUCCGUUUCUAAAUAUUUGUCUUUCUAGAGAUUUCAACAAGUGACUACAUACGGAGCAAAAUGAGUGAAUCUACACUCUAAAAUAUGUCUAUAUACAUCCCUAUGUGGUCACUUGUUGAAAUCUCUAGAAAGACAAAUAUUUAAGAACGGAGGGAAUAGAAUUAAUCAUGAACUUGCCUAAUAUUCCAACAACAUGCAUACACAAACAUCCAGUGGCGGCAAUUAGAAAUCAAAGAGAUAGAAUGCCAUGUCGCAAUAAUUCUGCAAAUUAUGGGAUGAUGUGUACAUCUGCUUCCGUCGAAUCUCGUGAACGUUUUUUAAAGCAAAGAAUCUCGUGAACAUGACAGAGACAACUUUUGGCCUGAACGAUGGAGAGAGCAAGCAAGCGAUAUUUCACAAGCAAAGUCAUAGGUUUCUGGGCUUCAUCCGCAAGGAUAUUAGGCAAGUUGGUCCGUAUCAGUGACAGCGAGUAGAAUACAUUUGCAAAGUCAAGAAAGACAUGUGUCCCUCCUCGUGGCGUUCACUGUACCAAGGGAGGCAGAGGGGAAGGAGAAAAUUAUAGUACGUCUUAACUUUAUUCUCCUUUUUAUUGCCUUUUGUUUUUCAACGGGUUAUUUCUCAUAUUUGUUUUGGCGGUAGCAACGGAAGAUGUCUCUAGCUAGCUACUACAGUUCCGAGAGAAUAUUCACACUGAUUUUUCCAUGACAAGUCAUUCAGUCCUCAGCAACAACGACCGGCGAACCAAGCCAAGCCACAAUCAAAUUUAAUUUCGGUUGUGUUUAUUCCCCGUCGUACGCGUUGAAGAAAUGUAAGUACGGGCGAUUGGUCGAACACACCAUGCAUUAUGAAGGCUAACUUGGUUCAGGCCAGGAAUAUCUAAAAAGUGGCUACAAAACAUUCACGAAAUCUAGCAUGCUGUACGUGCUUGCAUGAACUGUAUAUCCACAAAUUUUCGUCAGAGAAAUAUAUUGACAUAUAGUCUUCCCGCAAAAAAAUAAGAAUAAGAAACUACGAAGUCUUCCCGUAAAAUAAAACUAUAAAGCCAACUAUGGUUACUUUUUCCCGGAGUUGCCAGAAUGCAAAUGUAUUCAUGGAACUUAAGGUGAGCACACAAUACCGAGUCAUGUAGAUUUCGUACGGCCAGAAUCUCGUAAAGAACAAAAAGAAGAUAUUUCAUAGAGCUGGGGGAGCAUAUAUAGAUCCUUUAUCGAUACCAAGUUGAGCAGUUCGAACUGGCAAAGAAAACUCAUGUGUGGAAUUUAGCACCUCAGUUGGAUCACCUUGUUUGGGACGUACUGAUUACUAGUGCUAGAACACAAAGGAAUAGACGAUAUGUCAAUCUUAUCGACAUGCAUCUUCGUCGGCGAAGACGACAAAGGGAAGAUAUAGCCAGCAUAACACACAUGAAUCUUUUCACAUGCACAAACUAAUUGAUCAUGACGACGUACCCGAGGCGGCAUCGACGAACUCGCCGUUGAUGAAGAGCUUGGUGUGCUUGAUCUCCGGCACCACCGCCACCAUCUCGUUGCUCCCCAUUGCGAUGCGUGUCUCAGCUCAGCAACACAACCUUGAGUGGGUUGGCUCUGCCGGCCAAUCUUUCUGCUCCUCUCUACUGGAAGGUCCUGUGAGAACUAGAGUUUCUUAUGUAGAGAGAGCUAUGGUGUCUACGUUUUUGCCUUCGUUUUAGAACAGUCUGGCUACAGCUUAGAGAAGUGCUGGUGGGACUUGAAAACUCUCUUCUCCUCCACCUUGUAUGGCACCUAGCGCGUGGGGCGGAGACAGGGGGCGGCGAGCAGGGGAAGACUUGUUUUUGAGAUAGCAGCGGAAGACUUUCUGGUAUAUGUUAGUUUUUUUUUUCUUUUAGCGAAUGGUAUACGUUUUUUUUUGAUUGUGAUAACGUCCAAACGUUCUUUUUAUAUGGAGAGAUCCGAACGAUCNNNNNNNNNNNNNNNNNNNNNNNNNNNNNNNNNNNNNNNNNNNNNNNNNNNNNNNNNNNNNNNNNNNNNNNNNNNNNNNNNNNNNAGGCCACAAGCAUCUCUCUAAAAAAAAAAACCAGGCCACGAGCGCAUGUUUUCUGUUUUUUUUUUCUGUCCCCGCUCGAUCGCUAAAACCACCAAAACAUGUUUUUUCCCUCGUAUACUUUCUUCUCCUUUGAAAAAAAAAUUGCGUGCAAAGCAGGAUUUGAAUCUAAGACCACCGCUUUCAAUGCUAUCCCUAAUAACCAUAACCAACUGGACUAAUGAACCAUCUAUGAAUAUUCACCGAUUGACAUCUAAUUUGUAUACAUAUAACUAUGUUUGAAUUAACAGAAGUAGGACUGCUCAUGCUAGAUCUACCAGGCUACUUGUGCUAGAUUUAUCAGGUAAUGCACACCAAAAACUACCAGGCUACUCAUGCUAAAAUAUCAGGUUGUUAAAAAUGUUAAUGUCCAAGAUACCAUCAAUUUUGAACGUUAGUUUAUCGGGUCUGUCGCUCAAAAACUACCAUUUUGUUUACACAAAAAUUACAUAUGUAUAUUUCAAUACCCUUCUCCCUCGGUUCAAUGUUACCACAUGAGUUAUCCGGGGUGUUUUUCAACAGCUUUUUUCUCGAGUCAAAAAUAGUUACCAUGUCUGUUCUAAGCAAGUUAUCAGCUCUGUUGUGCUACGUUAUCAUGCUAGUAUACAUGUUUACNNNNNNNNNNNNNNNNNNNNNNNNNNNNNNNNNNNNNNNNNNNNNNNNNNNNNNNNNNNNNNNNNNNNNNNNNNNNNNNNNNNNNNNNNNNNNNNNNNNNNNNNNNNNNNNNNNNNNNNNNNNNNNNNNNNNNNNNNNNNNNNNNNNNNNNNNNNNNNNNNNNNNNNNNNNNNNNNNNNNNNNNNNNNNNNNNNNNNNNNNNNNNNNNNNNNNNNNNNNNNNNNNNNNNNNNNNNNNNNNNNNNNNNNNNNNNNNNNNNNNNNNNNNNNNNNNNNNNNNNNNNNNNNNNNNNNNNNNNNNNNNNNNNNNNNNNNNNNNNNNNNNNNNNNNNNNNNNNNNNNNNNNNNNNNNNNNNNNNNNNNNNNNNNNNNNNNNNNNNNNNNNNNNNNNNNNNNNNNNNNNNNNNNNNNNNNNNNNNNNNNNNNNNNNNNNNNNNNNNNNNNNNNNNNNNNNNNNNNNNNNNNNNNNNNNNNNNNNNNNNNNNNNNNNNNNNNNNNNNNNNNNNNNNNNNNNNNNNNNNNNNNNNNNNNNNNNNNNNNNNNNNNNNNNNNNNNNNNNNNNNNNNNNNNNNNNNNNNNNNNNNNNNNNNNNNNNNNNNNNNNNNNNNNNNNNNNNNNNNNNNNNNNNNNNNNNNNNNNNNNNNNNNNNNNNNNNNNNNNNNNNNNNNNNNNNNNNNNNNNNNNNNNNNNNNNNNNNNNNNNNNNNNNNNNNNNNNNNNNNNNNNNNNNNNNNNNNNNNNNNNNNNNNNNNNNNNNNNNNNNNNNNNNNNNNNNNNNNNNNNNNNNNNNNNNNNNNNNNNNNNNNNNNNNNNNNNNNNNNNNNNNNNNNNNNNNNNNNNNNNNNNNNNNNNNNNNNNNNNNNNNNNNNNNNNNNNNNNNNNNNNNNNNNNNNNNNNNNNNNNNNNNNNNNNNNNNNNNNNNNNNNNNNNNNNNNNNNNNNNNNNNNNNNNNNNNNNNNNNNNNNNNNNNNNNNNNNNNNNNNNNNNNNNNNNNNNNNNNNUCUGCGGUGUGUACAUUAUCACGUUACUUACACAUAAGUUACCAGGAUAUGCUUUCAACAACUUUCCCCCCGCCAAACUAAAAGUUACCAUGGUGUUUGUACCUAAGUUAUCAUCCCCAUUGUGCGCAAAUUAGCGUACUAUUUAAACAGAAUUUAUCGGGGUAUGUUUUCAGCAACCCCUGGAUCAAAAGUUACCGUGGUCUGUACAUAGGCUAUCAACUCUGUUGUGCUUAAGUUAUCAUGCUAGUUACACAAAAAGUUAUUGGUGAUAUGUUCUUAAAAAGUUAUUGGUGAAGUUACCAUUGAAGUCCAACGCCGAGCACAUGGUGAGGUCGGUCUGCUAGCCCCUCAUGCCGGCAGUGGAGGGUUGCAGCAACGGCUACUGGGCCUGCUUGGAGGAUACGUCACUAGGCUUAGUGAGCGCUAUUGGCGAAGCGUUUGGGCGCUCGUACCUGCAGGUGGCGGCAGCGCGAUGCAAUAGACGUGACGACAGCGCUUCGGGACUUGAGGAGGCCAAGGAGCACGAAUUCGAUGGCGCAGUGGUGCAGGGCGUCGGGGAAGAGCCAGAUCCGGAUGUGGAUGAGGUAGGGGAGGUCAGAGACGGCGCUGUAGACUGGGAGGGGCCAUGUAUCGAUACAUAGAAGGGUGGGUGGGGGAAGAGAAGGGAAGGAGCAAUGAGAAGGAAGUGGAGGGGAGGAGCAGGGGCAACAAGGAGGUCGACCAACAUUGCUGUCGAUGUUGCUCGUCGGUGGUGGCGAGGCUCGCUAGAGCAGCUGAGGGCGGCGAAUCUUGGCGCCAUCGUCGUCCAUGCCGACGUCGGUGCAUGGAUGUAUAUUUUGAUGACUUUGUUCUAGGUAAAAGUUACCAUCCCUACACUACUAGGGAAAACCCUAGUAGUAGCGCGGGUAAUUUCCUAGCAGUAGCGCGGGGGCCUGCGCUACUGCUAGGGUGCUACAGCUAACUUUUAGCAGUAGUGCGGGCGGUACCCGCGCUACUGCUACUUCUAGUAGUAGUAGCGCGGUUGACACCCGCGCUACUACUACUUAGUUGUAGCGCGGGUCAGGGCCCCGCGCUACUACUAACUAAUUAAGAAUUAAAAUAAAUAAAUUCCAUCCAUGGCAGCUGCUUCUGCUGGGCGUCAUCGUCCUCUCCAUCCAUGGCUGCUACUGGUCCUAGAGGGGAUGAAGUUGUCCACGGUGAUACACCUCUCCUUUGUUGCUGCUACAAAAAAAGAGACAAGGAUUAGAAGAGGAAGAGAGAGAGAUAGAGAGGAGUAGGUGCAGCAACUCACCGGUGGCCGCUGGAGUUGGAGCUGAAACCCUAGAUGACGCCAUGGAUGGCGCUCUGCCUGAUCUGGAAGAUGAAGAGAGAGAGAGAGAGAGAGAGAGAGAGAGAGAGAGAGAGAGAGAGAGAGAGAGGGAGAUUGAGAGGGGUAGGAAGAACAACUCGCCUAUGGUUGUGUCCAUGGCGGAUCUGGCUGCCGCCAUGGAUGGCGCUCUUCCUGAUCUCCCUCUCCUUCCAGCAUUAGAGAAGGAGGAGGAAGGAGGGGGAGGGGGCUGCGGUGGGUGUGGAGGUUGCCGGAUUGGGGGAGGCAUGAGGUGCGAGGCCGGUGGUGGUGGUGGAUGAGGAAGGGAAUCAUGGGUGGGAGGGAGAAACGGAAUGGGAGAGCCUACGAAGAGAGGGCGGAGAGUGAGAGAGAGAGAGAGGAGGGAUUCGACCAAGGAUAUGGAGACUUCACCUACCUUGUACUUAGUAGUAGCGAGGGGUAUAAACCUGCGCUACUACUAUCAACUUAGUAGUAGCACGGGUUCAUACCCCUCGCUAUUACUAUGGCAUGUCUCGGGGGGCACGGUAGAGACUGCUUAGUAGUAGUGAGGGUUAAAAACCCGCGCUACUACUAUCAACUUAGUAGCAGCAAGGGGUAAAAAACCACGCUACUAGUAAGUAGCAGCAGUGAGGGUUAUAAACCAGCGCUACUAGUAAGGGCCUGUCUAUAAGCUUUUCCCUAGUAGUGCUAGGCUAAGUAAGAUAUCAACUAUGUUAGGCGUAUAUUACCAUGUUAUUUGCACAGAUGUUAUCGGGGAUAUGCUUUUAAUAACUUUUUUCCUAGGUCAAAGUUACCGCGGUGUUUUUUAGCUAAGUUAUUAGGUCUAUGAUGCAUAUAUUAUCAUGCUAUUUACAUAUAAGUAGCCGAGAUAUGUUUUCAACUAAAAAAAUUCCCCGGUCAAAGUUAUCGUGGUGUUUGUACCUAAGUUAUCAGGUCCGGGAGCAUAUAUUAUCAUGCCAUUUACAUAGAAAUUAUCGGUGGUAUGUUCUCAUGAAAUUUUUUCGACGUGUCAAAGUUAUCAUGGUGUUAGUACCUAAGUUAUCACGUCCGGGUACCUAUAUCGUCAUGCUAUUUACACAAAACCAGUCGGCGAUAUGUUAUUGACAUCUUUUUCGCGGGUCAAAGUUACCGUGCUGUUUGUGCAUAAGUUAUCAAGUCCUGGAGCGUACAUUAUCAUGUUAUUUACACAGAAGUUGUCGGUGAUAUGUUCUCAACAACUUUUUUCCACGGGUCAAAAUUAUCGUGGUGUUUGUACCAAGUUAUUAGGCUCGGGAGCCUACAUCAUCAUGUUAUUUACACAAAAAGUUAUCGGUGGUAUAUUUUUUAACAUAUUUUUUCUAGGAUCAAAGUUUACAUGGUGUUUGUAUCCAAGUUAUCUGAUCCGGGAUUGUAUAUUAUCAUGCUAUUUAUACAGAAGUUAUCAGUAGAAUUUUACAACAAUUUUUUCAUGGGUCAAAUUUAUCGUGGUGUUUGUACCUAAGUUAUCAGGCACAGAAGUCUAUAUUAUCAUGGCAUUUACGCAAAAGUUAUCGGUUGUAUAUCUUUAACAUCUCCCCCCUCCCCCCAACCCCGGGUGAGAGUUAAGGUGGUGUUUGUACCUAAUUAUCAUGUCCGCAGUGCGUAUAUUACUAUGUGAUUUAUAUAUAAGUUACCGGGUAGUUUUCAAAACUUUUUUCCUAGUUCAAAGUUAUCGUGGUGUUUGUACCUAAAUUAUCAAGUCUUUUUUUCGAGAAGGGGGAAUGCCCCAGCCUCUGCAUCUGAGCGAUGCAUACGGCCCUCUUAUUAAGCAAGUAAAUAUGUUCCAAACAAAGUCUGAAAGUCUAGAAGUCUCCCAAAGACAAAAAAAGAGCUCACACAGAGCCAAAAGAGCUAGAAUACAAACUAGCGAAAUAAAGGACGCCACAACCGGCUGGCAAAACAGAGAGAUAGAUAAACUAAUUGCCUAUCCUAUUACAUGACCGCCAUCCAAACCGAUUGAAUAUAUCCCGAGCUACCAUCUCCCAGCGAAUAGAUCCAGUAACCAAAUGCUCCCUAGCCUCCGUCGGAGUGAGUAGCGACCACGAACGGAUCAAUGCCGUGGCUCGGAAGAUAACCUGCAAAAAAUGAAUACAUGAUAUCCCGUUAAAAACCAAAUCAUUUAUGCAAUUCCAUAUAGUCCACAGCAAGGCACAAACUCCUACAUGAAUAUGUCUCGCUAAGUCGGGCUCUAUCCCGUUAAGCCACGUCCCAAAUAACGUGUUGACAGAAUUCGGUGGAGUAAUAUUAAAAGUAAUAUGGAUCAUUCGCCAUAAAACUUUGGCUAGCGGGCAAUCAAGCAAAAGGUGUUUGAUCGUCUCAUCCCAAUCAUAAAAACUACACCUAGUAGGGCCUGUCCAAUUAUGCUUUGUCAAGUUGUCCUUGGUUAAAAUGACUUGUUUAUGGACAAACCACAUAAACACUUUUAUUUUCAAAGGAACUUUGACAUCUCAGCUUGGAUCUAGGAAUGAAGCUCGAAUUGAUAACAUCAAUAUACAUGGAUUUAACUGUGAAUACUCCAGACCUAGUAAGCUUCCAGCGUAAUUCAUCGAGUUGUUGAGAAAGCUGAACCUCCAUCAGUCUAUGUACUAGACGGAGCCAUUCUUCCCAACGAUUGCCCGCUAGCGAUCGUCUGAACUAAAUAUUAAGGGGGAUAGAUUGAAAUACCGUUGCAACGAACACCUCACGUCGUUGAACAAUAUGAUAUAAAGACGGGUAUUGAAUGGCUAAAGGUGUGUCUCCGAGCCAAGUAUCCUCCCAGAAACGUGUACCAGCACCGUUACCAAUAAUAAACUUUGUCUUAUUAAACAGAGAUAGUUUGACUUUCAUAAGUCCCUUCCAGAAAGGCGAGUCAGUCGGCCUUACUGUCACCUGAGACAAAGUUUUGGUCUAAAGAUACUUGCUAUGAAGGAUUUGCACCCACGUGGCAUCAGUCUCACUCGACAACUUCCACAACCACUUACUAAGAAGGCAUCUGUUUUUAACUUCAAGAUUCUCAAUACCAAGACCCCCUUGGUCUUUCGGUCUACAGAUGAUAUCCCAUUUAGCUAGGCGGUAUUUUCUUUUUAGUUCAUCACCUUGCCAAAAGAAUCGCGAUCGAUAAAAGUCCAGUCUUUUCCUGACUCCAACAGGGACUUCAAAGAACGAUAAUAGAAACAUAGGCAUACUCGUGAGAACCGAAUUUAUCAGAAUUAAUCGGCUUCCGUAUAACAUGAGCUUGCCCUUCCAGCAACUCAGUUUCUUUUCAAACCGGUCCUCGAUGCACUUCCAUUCUCUGUUUGUCAGCUUAUUGUGGUGGAUUGGUAUACCUAAGUACGUAAAAGGUA